rnacentral:lncRNA from 1 species
AAGUGAGGUUCCAGUUUAUUUAUCAGCAUUGAACGCCAGGAAAAAAGGUCUAUCUUGCUUGCGAAUUACAAUGUCAAGAGACCAACACAGCCACCGAUCAAAUUUCUCAGUGGUAAAGAACAUGACUAGCAGUACAAGAAUAUCAAUCGACCUAAACGAAUUAACAGGGGACACAGCAACAUCACUCGAUCCUAGCUACGGUUUCCAGCGCUGUAAAACUGUCGCCUCGGAAACUACUGUCAUCUCCUGUUUGUUCAUAGCGAGUGCUUCUUCCACCUCACUAAGGAAUUCAGGAACUCCAUCACCUGCACGAGAAGCAAACGAUUAGGAAUCUAUCGUUGAACAGAACCAGCAGGAGCAGAGAAAAAGAACUACACGAAGAUCUUUACUUCAGACGGGUCCCUGAGCGAGUAGAAGGCUUCGGUUUCCUUGGGCGCCUGCGAGACCAGUAUCCCGUAUCCGCAGUUCCUCUCCCGAAGCACCUGAUCAAACCAAGGGAAAAAAAUACCAUGAGCUUACAGUUUACAGGCGGACCAAAGAUGCCAAAGGACUGCACAAGAAGAACUGCCAAAAUUUUCUCCAGAGAAAGAAAUGGAAACCUUGAACGCGUCUUCGUCGGUGCGGUCGUCUCCGAUGUAGAUGGGAAUCACGUUCUCGCAGUCGCUCAGCCCGAGCGACUGAAGCAGGAACUCCACGGCCUUCCCCUUGUCCCAGUCGAUCACCGGACGAACCUCUAAAACCAUUCGUCCGUUGGUCACUUUGAGACGGGGGAAGUCCUCCAGCACCUCGUUUACGAGCCGUGCGACCAGCUCCCAGUCCUGCGAGCAGCAACCAAGCAAAACUGUCGGGCGAAUCUGCAGGUGUAUGCCGUCCAUGGAAGGGAGACCCAGAGAGGAGGCAAAAGAGAUUUGAGGCACAGGGUUUUUACCUUCUCGUCUACGUUGCGGUAAUGAACAGACACGCAGAACUUGUUGUCCUCAACGCUCGCGCCUUCGAUUCCGCUCGUGACUUCCAAGAGGGCCUUGGAAACCUGUUGCGAAAAAUACCUAUUAAUACAACACAAGAAUCGCUGAACUUUGCAUGAAUUGAAUCCCUGUCAUUUUCUGAAGUUUCAGUUGUCCAGUCGACUAAAGUAUUACAGUUUGUCAGCUUCAUCAGAGUUAAAUAAGAAGAAGCGCACCUCGUCGAUCAUAGGCAGAAAAUCGCGAGCAGGUUGGAAGAUGUUAGCUUCUUUGCCCUACAAGUAGAGUUAAGCAACCGUGAGUGUGGCGCACAUAAGACAGUGGAUUUUAUCAUCCCUGAAACGAAUGAGCAGGACAUGCUCACCUUUUCAGCAUUGUGUUCAUAAUGUGCUGAAGAUGUCAUUAUGUCCAUCCCAUGACUUCCAGCAUAACAGAGCUCCUUCAGUUUUACAAAUUCAAGAACCUGCAUAAAUUAGAAUAAAACCAUCAAAUUAAUCAGGCAUUAAUUGCAUAUCACCAGGAUUCUGAUAUCAAACAUGCAUAUAUCAAAUGAAUCAGGCAUAUAACUGCAUAUCACUAGGGAGGAUUCUGAUAUCAGCACAGUGACACGUGCAAACAGUUAGCAUAGUUAUCAAUACCUUCUUCCGGGACCUUCCGCUGACGAUGGCGGCGGGGAAGUGCUUGGCAACGUUUCUCACAGCAGCUCUCAUCUAAGGAGAAAUUUUUGGGGGGACAACUAUAAGCAGGUGCCCAUUUGUUGAUAACCAAGAAACGUUAGUACUAGUUUAAGCAGGUUAUUCUGAUUUACCACAGGGGACAUGACGGCCUUUUCAGGGUCGUCGACGAUCGGCGACAGCGUGCCAUCAUAGUCCAAGAACACCGCAAUCUUCUUGCCUUGUGCACUCGCUACGAUCUGCUUGAAGGAUGCCAGAGCAGAAGGGCAUUUUGCCUACAGCACAAGACACAUGUAUGUAACGAAGCCUUUCUUCAGAAGAGGCAUAUAUACUAGCUAGUACUGCUUCUUGCUGCGUCACCCAAAACUGAAUCAUGGAAAAUCAUACCAUCCAUGCACUGUAGGCAGGAUCUUCUUCAGGAAGGUCUUCCUGGCCGAAGACCACGUUGUGCUUCUUACGCGGCGACGAGGAUUUCAUCGCAUCCAGCAGCCCGCUCACGAGGACCUCCUCGAUCUUGCGCCUGCUGACGUUUACCCCCGCGCCACCAGCGCCGGAGUAACCUCCGGACCUGACUGAAAAUGGCAUCAUUUUGGAAGGCAGCACGCCCAUCAACGACUGGCUCAUUCCUAUCGGGUCGGUGAUGACCGGUGAGCUGUUGCUCAAAUCCAUCGGGCCGGACGAAGAGAAAAUGGGGUCAGUACGGUGGUCGUCUCUCUUUCAGCUGGAUUUGCUUAGCCCACUGUCUUGUCGAUGAAGAACCACUUCUUCAGCGUUUUCUUGUCGCUGCAGGUGUGGUGGAAGUUCAUCAACAGCAGAAUACCUAAGAACUGAUGAGAGAAGGUAGGGUAGCGUUAGGGAAAGGGCGCCUGGUCCAUGAGAAAAGGGGAGGUAAUUCAGGAUGAUCUGUACCUUGUCAUGCUGAGAGAGAUGACACAUCUAUAUCACAAGACUGGAUUCUUGCAUAUGAAAAGCCAUACAAAGCCAGCUCCGUUAACUCCAAUGUUCAGAAUGAUGCAAAGGCCCGGGUUUCAACCUCCUUUCCGGAAAAACUCCGAUGUUCAGAAAGUGUCACUGCACGAAUCAAGAACAGGGUAUUUUCAGUUACCCGGAAAGAUCAAACAUUAGACUAGUUACUUCCAUGACGUCGACAACUACACAUGGAUCAAGUGUCAAGCCAUGUUAAAUAUGUGUCCUUGUCACGAGUGGAGGAAGAAAACAACAUCCAGGAUAAGCAGGAGGAAAAGGAAAAUGUCAAAGUAAAAACUUGCAGAUAGAUAGCUUGGUUAGCCUUAACUAUUACUCUCUCCGUCUCAAAAUAAGUGUCUUAACUUUGUACUUACUUUAAUACAAAGUUGUACUAACCUUGAGACGCUUAUUUUGGGAUGGAGGGAGUAUUAUUUUUCGAGAAUGGGGUUAGCCUUAACUAUGGUUAGUUAGCCUUGUAGUAUUAACAUUUUCCUGAAAGAACAUAAACAUGUGCAAUGAUAUGCCGGCCUAAUCACUGAUGCCAUGUGUGCUCUGGCCCAGGUGUUAAUGGUGAGUGUUUCUGUUUCUGUUUCUCCUUCUGAACUUAAGAACGGUAGGUAAACCUAACCAAUCCAUAUUUUGUACGCAAGUUAAAUUGAGCGGCAUUAAAUUGCCUUUGGCCGGAAUAUGAGAAGAGCAAUCGUGCUGUGCCCCUACAAGCCAUGACGGAAGCAUAAGAACUAAGCUAUGAAUUACGAGUAUGAUGGAAGCAUGAGAACGUCAGGCUACAGCAGGUUCGUGGGAAAAGGCCAAGUUUGAAACAUUUGACUUGACUAAUCAGUUCGGUAAUUCAACCUUCUUCGCGACGACCAAAUCCUCAGCGGAAGAUUUAUAAGAAACAAAAUAAUUAACAGAACCUCGCGCCAUAUACACACUGCUAAACGCUAAUAAAAAUAUGCAGUCUAGGGGGGAAGGGAUUCAGUAAACAAGAAACAAUGGCAAGAGAAGGGGGUCAGCUCUGGUCCCCUAGCAAAUUUGCAACCAUCAUACAGUCAUCAGGCAAAUUUCAUAGGGAGAUGCAGAGAGAGAGAACAAGUAAACUGAGCAUUGCAUGCGAACAAGUAAACUAGGCGACUGAAUGGGUAGGGGAAGAAGAACAUGCACACACCUUAACGUAGGAAAGGGACCUGGAUUGAGUGCGAGAGGUGGGGAGUCGAGCAAUACGCGAGGAGAGGGAGGCGAGGAAAGAGGGGGUAGAAUGGCGUCGAUGCCAAGACUAUUUAUAGAGGAAGCGAAGGCUGGAAAAGGGCGAGAAAAAUCUUGAGGAAUUCAAUUGGGCCUACAAGUUUUUGUUACGCGGUGUAUUCGCUAGGCGCACCCGCGGGAGCCCACGCAGAUUUUGUGCCCUUCUUUCUCGUCCAGAUUCAUCGAACAAGGACUCGCGACGACGCCAGUACAGUUAGUCAGUUCAUCGGUUGUGGUCUUGUGGAGAUACACUUCACUUGCAAAAAAUACAAAAUGUACUACUAAGGGGUACGUAGUAUUCACUCAUUCCAUUCCUAAAUAUAAGUCUUUUAAGAGAUUUUAAUAGAGAUUAUAUAUUAAACAAAAUAAAUGAAUGUAUAUUUUAAAGUAUGUCUAUAUACAUCCAUUUGUAUUCUUUUAUUGAAACCUUUAAAAAAACUUAUAUUUAAAAACGGAGAAAGUACUAUAAAAAAUAUGAUAAAAAAAUACAUUCAUAUUUGCAUUCAUCCAAAAAAGCUAUUCAGAUUUUUUUGCCGUAUCCUCAAGCAUGUAGAUUGCAAGGGAAAUAUUGCCGCCCAAGAGCCUAGUUCUCAAAACAGGCUUUUGCCCCGCUUUAUAAAUAAAGCAACAAGCACAGUAGUACACGGUCGAAUGAUACAAGAUGAUGAGAUAGUCCUCUUACACACCCGAUCUUGAGAUACCCGACACACGUAGAAUGCACGCGACGCUACCGGUAGCACGCACCAAGCGAGCUAAACACCCUCACGCUACGACUGAACAUACCUAGACUCUACGACAAUGCCCUCAAGAGGGGAAACGAUGUAGAGCGCCGUUGCCGCCAUCGAGUCCAUCGGACAAAGGUCUUCAACGGAGCCCUGACACGAGGAGAAGAACCACAACGACGUCUUCAGAAAAAGCACGGCACCCACGGGUGUCGCCGUCGUUGGCGCCAAGGCAUGGAGCUUUUGCUCGGCAACACAUCUCUGUCACUACAAGGCCGCCAAGAGGAGCACGACACUGUCAGAUCCCCAUAUCCAGACCAGGAUGCCACAUCUCCACAAGAGAGAUCACGUCCGAGCUAUAGGCCACCCCACCUCCCAUUGCCCCCACAACCCGGGAAGGGAGCCACCAUCAUCACAAUGUUGCCCGCCAGAGAGCAAGCAUGCAACCCACCAUCCGGGGCCACCGCCCCGGCAUUCCUGCUGCGAGAUACCAUCGGUGGCACCUCACGCCGCACAUAACCACAUUAUGAAGAACGACGCCUCUCCAUCAACUUCUAGCCCGACAUCAGUCCCGAGUCUGGAUAGACACCUCCAAUGUAGGAGGCAUCCACACCAGCCUCCCUCGCCAAUACCUAGUGGACUGGGAGGGACACGACUCCGAGACUAACGACGGUCGCUGGCAAGCCAGUCCCAAGCCCAUGGGCAGGCGAGCUCACCCGACGCCAUGUCCGCGGUCACCGCCGCCGAUCCAUCCACCGACGCACCGAUAUCACGACCACCACCAGCGAACACCGUACCCGGGAAGGAAGCCUGAGCAUCCAUGCGAGCACAUCACGGAUCAAUCCCAGCCUCUCCUACCCGAAGCAAAAGCUUCGUUCCGCCCCGAGCCCCGAUCUGAUCUGCCCGAGCAUGAACUCUAGAUGUGGCCCAUCCCCAAAAGGCAUGCGGACGGCACAUCGACGCCCGCCAAGCCCCGCGCACCGUCGGAACAGAUCCAGGGGAAGGAGGCCGACAUCACCGCCUCGUGCCACCGGAAGGAGCCUAGCUGUUGCACCACAACAGCUCCGCCCGGCGCGCACCGCCGCCCAACCCCGGUGCUGCCCAAGAUGAGCCCACACCCGAGGUAGAGGACCACCGUCGCCCGCAACCACUACCACCGCAGAGCAAGCAAAGGCCACCGGCGCCCGCCGCCAUGGCCCGCGCCGCCUGCCAGCCAGUUUCGGACGCUGUGUCGAGGCGCGCACCACCUCCUGCGGCCGUCCACGUAGUGCACGCAUGCCGGGAGCUACGUACCGCCACGCCAUGCCCGAUGCCCGCACCCGAUGGGAGGUCCUGCAACAUCCCAUCGCGUGAAGGGGGGGGGAAUGAGCCCCAUCGUCGCCCUAGCAGUGGCGAGGGAGGAGAGGGAAGGAGGGGAGGGAGCUCGCGGCGUGGGACUGGAUGCUCUCUGCGGCCGCCUCGCGGGUGGCGGCGCGGCGUCCACAACCUAGUUGUGCAAAAUAAAAUAAAAAACAACAAUUGUCAUGAAUAUUAUUUAUAACUUUGUGUUUUCAAAAUUUAAUAUUAUAUUGGGCGCAACGAAAGUUUUACUCCCUCUGUCACGGUUUAGAAGGCGUGCUUGGAAAUUCUCUGAAACCUAGGUGGUUAUUGAUUGGCUCUCAGAUGGUCUGAAAAAUAACAUUCACACUAUGCGUGCAUAUAGAAGUAGUACAAUGGAGUACUAAUUAGCUAUUAGCAGUAAAUGCAAUGCGUCCUACACCUUGUCUAUUAUGAAAAUGUACGCAAAUUUAACCAUGUCUUAUAAACUAUGAUGGAAGGAGUAUUUGAAAAUUGUAUACAUGCCUAUUAUGGCAAUUAAUUGAAGAAGAUUAAGUAAUAUCACUUGUUUUUGCGUGCAAGGGGACACUUAUCAAUCACGCUAUGCUUCUUAAUGGAUCACACAAUAUUCGUGUCAAUGUGAAUAUGCGGAAGUGCAAAACUUCAAUAUGUAUAUUGAAGGUCACAUCAUUUGUGUGCAUCCUUGAGUUCAUACUCGCACUUUGUAAUAAAUGACAAUGUGCAUCACAAUAAUGCAGAGACCGAAGAUCAUCUUUUUUUUAAAGAAAGUUCAUGGCAGUAUAUAGUUAGGAUGUUGGCCGAUAAUACAUACAACUCCAUUUAGGAUGAACCUGAUAAAGAGAUUUCAUAUAGUGCAUGCAGGGUAACUUUUUGUGAAAAAACUUUUUUUUCGUCAUUUUCCUUCUAACUGGUCAUUUUUUCAUCAAAAGGGAAAUAUUGCUUAAUUUGUUUGGGGGGGGGGGUUAUAUAAUCUUUAUAAUACUAGAGGAGUUAAGGCCCAAUUCUUUUCAACAGAUUCUAUAAAAUCUCAGUUUGGAAAAUCUCGAGGGAAAAGAAUACGAUUUGUCUUUGUAACUGCAUCUAGUGCCCAUUAGUGAUUUCGGUGGAUUGAAGACUUAUAGGUUAAGAGACUGAUAUGUUUGUGAGUGCACACAAACUCUAUAAGUCGCUGGUGGAGUUUGAGUUAUUCGAAUAAUAUGGACCCCUAAAAAUGAAUGUCUUCGGGUGAAGACUUUGGUCAUUUAUUGAAGACUUUGGUAGCAAAGAAAUUGCUAUGCCUCAUGAAGACAUUGAAGAUGAGGAAUUUGGUGUGUCCCGAAGAAAAUGCUCUAUAGACUUUGAAGCUUGAAGAUUUACUCCUUCUGUUUCAUUUUGUUCUUUCUUGAUUCAUAGGAACACCAUACUGUUAAAGGGGGUCCAGGUAAAAUAAAGGAAAGAAUUUCCUCAUGAUGCUCAAAUCAAACCUACACCUAGCAGAUCCUCCAAGUGAGGAACAUGAGAGGCAUGAGGACUUUCACCGUUGAAAGUUCCGACCGUUGCCGUGCCGCGCUCCACGUGUCCCCAAUCUUAUCCACCCAACGGUCAUAUCAUUGGGGGAAUUAAAUUCAUAUCAUGUCAGCAUGCUCCCUGGCUAUGAAUAGCCGCCCCCUACAACCACUAGUUGGUUGGCUGCUCCAAGAGAAGCUGACACUUGUCACUUAAAGCAACCCAAUUCCUCGAGGACUUUGAGAAAAAAUCAUCAAGUGAGGAAAUACCCCAAACACCCAAACCAAAACCCAAAACCCAAAGUGAUUGAGCAUCACUGAAGAGAUUGUUCCUGUGUGGAACCGAGGCUUGGUACCUUUGAGGAUUGUGCAUCCUCCAGAUGGUUAGGCAUCAUGGUCUAGAGCAUCCACCAGUCAAUUGUGGAUCACCGGGUGACCGAGUUUGUGGGGGUUUGGAAGUCUGCCCUGAAGACUUACCACGAGUGUUGGGCGAGGACUGUUUAUCCUUAGCUCAAGGAGAAUACAGUGGGGACUUCGUGUCUCGGGAUUGUGUGUCCUUUGGUUUCAAUUGCAAGCCGCUCCAAACCAGACGUACAACUGUCGCAGCAGUUGGAACUGUGUCAUCAACCACAGUCUUCAUCAAGCUACUGGUUCUAUUUCUUCAACUUUUUUCAUUUCCUCAAUUGCAUGUUGAAGACUUUCAUAUGCACCGUUUGAAGAAUUUGAUGAAUACUUUCUCUGAAUUCCUCACCUCAAAUUCUUCAUGUGAGUUAUGCAUCACCUGCUCAUCGUGUAUACAUGACCUAUGCAAACCGAACCUAUCAACUCACACUGAGUACUUUGUUGUAGUCGCUUUUGCAUAUCUGUCUAAGUAUUAUUUCCGCUCCACUCAGUUCAUGACUGAAUACUUUCCUCACUAGGAAUUUCCUCAGUGAUGAAUUUGUAAAAAUCGCCUAUUCACCCCCUCUAGUCAAUAUAAUGUGGUUUCAAUUGUAUGAGAGCAAGGUACUCCCUUGUUUUGUGUGAUUUUGGUUUAACCGCGUGGAGUUUUAGUUAUGUCGACCGCAGGUAUGAUCAAGGUUACUACGGGUUGUCCUACCUUCGAAGGAAAGGACUUCCCCGACUGGAAGAACAAGAUGCAAAUGCAUCUUCAAGCAAUUGACAACGAUCUCUGCUACAUCGUGGAAAAUGGCGUUCCCUCUGUCACUUCAACUAUCACUGUCGCUGAUGUGAAGAAGUUCAAGCAACUUGACUCACAAGCAAAGAAUAUCAUCUGUGGCCAUUGAGCAAAGGUCGGUAUAGCAGAGUGAGUGCUUUGGGCUCUACGAAGCUUAUCUGGGAAAGGUUGUCCAAAGUCAAUGAGGGAGUCUCCACACAGCGGGACUCUCGAGUUGAUGUUCUUCGUAAUCUCUUCAACCGCUUCAAGAGACUAGAUAAUGAAAAUUGCCAAGAUACCUUUGAUCGCCUCACUGACAUCUCAAAUGAGCUGCAAGCUCUAGGAGCUAGAGACAUCACUGAUCAUGAAGUUGUGAAGAAACUGUUACGUUCUCUUGAUCCAUCAUUUGACACACUGGUACUGAUGAUUGAAUAACAAAGAGACUACAAGAUGCUUGAUCCUGCUGAUAUACUUGAGAGACUCAAUACUCAUGAAUUCCAACAAGAAGAGAAGAGAGACCUUUAUGGGCUAAGCUACUCAAGACCUCGUGCAUUGAAGGCAAAUGUUGUUUCCUCAUCUGAAGAAGAAGAAUCUGACUGCAGUUUUGCUGAUCCUGAAGAACUUGGUCAGGAACUUGCUAUGAUCGUGAGGAAAUGCCAGAAGCUCUCAAGGCAUGGCCAGUUCGAAAAGUCUUCAAGAAGAGAUAUGAGGAGAUCAGAAUCUUCACGUGAGGACUACAAGAAAAGAACCUGUCAUAAAUGCAAGAAAUCUGGUCACUACAUUGUUGAUUGUCCUCGUUGGGUGAAGGAGUCAAGAAGAAGAAAUACAAGGAUGAAAGUUCUGAUGACUCGAAGAAAAAGAAGAAAUCUUCAAAGUCCUCAUCGCACAAGAAGACCAGUUUCAGAAAGGCUCGAGCACUCAUUGAAAAGGAAAUGGAUUCUUAAGAAGAAUCUGAGAAUGUGAUGAAGAGGAGGGUUCUGAAGUGUAGUCGAAGUCUGGUGUGGCAAGUCUGGCACUUGCUACCACAUUCAUCAACAAGUCCAUCUUCAACCUUGAAAAAAAUGUCAACGUCAACAACACUGAUGACUAUGAUGAUGACAUCGCUCCCUUCUAUUGCUUCAUGGCAAAAGGUUCAAAGGUACCAAACCACACUUCCUCCUCUAAUUCUAGUGACUGUGAACCUGAUGAUUAUCAAAAACCCAGUUACUAUAAACUUGCCAACAUUGCCACUAAGCAACAAAGUGCAAUUGAAAAGCUUUAGAAACUGCUAGACAAAAGCGAUGAUCUAUUGAAUGAUGAAAUGAAUCAUACUCAAAUCCUCACUAAAGAUGUUCAAAGUCUUUAGUCUAGAUUUGAUAGUCUUCAAGAUCGUUAUGGUACACUCUUGGAUGAUCAUGAGAAGCUUUCCAAUGAACUUCUUCAAAGGAAGCUAGAUCUUGAGAAACUGGAAAUGUCCGAUGAUGAUCUUCGAAUGGAAAAUAUGAUUCAUUUCUUGCUCAACAGAUCAGUACCGCUCAGGAAGAUUUCAUUGCACCAUGUCUGAAAUGCAUCGAACGUGAAACUACUAAUUCUUCACCUGAAACUUCAUAUGCUUCUAUCACUACAAAUUCUUCAACUGUUCAUGUGCUAUCUAACUCUUCACCUGAAGAAACCACAAAUGUUAUUGACGAAGGGUUGAAGGAAUUGUAUGUGACAGGCAUAUACAAAAGUCUCAAAGGGCAUCAAACCCUUUGUGAUGUGCUUAAAAAGAGGAUUCUGAACAGGAACCUGAGGAAAGAGGGCAUUGCCUUUGAGAGCAAACUGGACGUUGAUGGGUCAUACUGGAAACCUGAAUAGUACCCCCAAACCUCAUGGGUUGCUGCCAAAGGAUCUCCCAUUGAUCCAUCCACUCUAACAGGCUUUGCAUGUGAAAUGUCUUAUUCCUCUGAUGACUCAUUUGACUUCAACUAUAAACUGUUCAAAACUCAUGUUGGUGAAGUAUUUAUCCGAUAUGUUGGAACUAACUGCAGGAAUGGACCGCCUCUGAGUAAAAUCUAGGUUCCCAAAAGUUGCAUGGAAAGUCUUUAGGUGAAUGUCCUCAUGACACUGAUACGUCCAAAACGUAUCUAUAAUUUUUGAUGGUUUCAUGACACUUUUAUGCUUUUGGUAAUUGUUUUUAUAUUAACUUUAUUAUUUAUUUGGACUAACCUAUUAAUAGUUGCAAAAGUGCACAAUGUUAUUGUUUUACAUUUUUAUGUGUAGGAACUAUCAAAAAUAGAAGGGGAAACCUUGUUGAAGUCGAAUUGGGACUUUCCUGAAAUCUGUCCGAAAACUCUUUUUAAAGACUGCCACGUUAUGGGUCUAAGACGGCGUCAGACGGAAAUCUUACAGAAGACAAAAGUAUGGAGAAUUUUAUGCUGAUAAUUCUAGAUAUACAAUUCGGUCCAUUUGCAGUACGGAAGCUCCAGGAAAUCCCGUUUUACUGGAGGACAAAUAUCUGAUUACGGGUAUCGGUGACGUGAUUGAGUCCAACUCUUACCAUAUUUGAUGGAUUCGGCCAAGCCAUGACUUUGGGACCUCAUUAGGGCUGAGAGGGGUCCCUCGGAAGGUUCUAGAUGUGCCCAAGAGACCUUGGAUCAAAGGGUCAUCCAUCGGAGGGCUAAGGAUGAUCGUCAUAGCUCAUAUAAGGAGAGGAAAACCCUGAUUUCUCAGCAGCCAAUAAAAGCCACGAAUUUUGCCUCCCCCAUGGCCUCAUCUCCAUGGGGGGGGGGGGUCAUCUACAGCACCAAGAAGCCAUGGAGGAAGGGGGCUAAGGGGCGGGGCUCCCCCAUGAUGGCCGGCCGGCGCAGGAGGAGCCCCUGCGCCGCCGACGUCGCCCUGCACCUCAUGUGGUGCCCCUUCUCCAUCCUCUUCGCCGUGAUGCCUCCUUCACCAACACCUCCAUCAUCAUCUCCUCCAUAGCUACAGUAGUCCACUCUCCCACAAACCUCUGUAAUCCCCUAUGUAAACAUGGUGUUUGAUGUUAUAAAUUAUUUGCAAAUGAUCUAUUGCAUCUAUGUCAUAUUUGUGUAGUUCCCUUUAGACAUAUGAUUGACUAUUGAAUCUCCAUGGAUGAUUUGAGCUAUAUAUUAAAAAAAUUAAAGUCCUAUGGUACCCAUCAUAUGUUUAUGCAUGCAUGGAUCACAUCAUAGGGUUUGUAGUAUGUGGAUAAAGCUAGAGGGUGGGUGAUACGUCUCCAGCGUAUCUAUAAUUUUUGAUGGUUUCAUGCUAUUAUCUUGUCAAACUUUGGAUGUUUUGCAUGCCUUUUAUAUAUUUUUUGGGACUAACCUAUUAACUCAGUGCCAAGUGCCAGUUUCUGUCUUUUCUGUGUUUUGACCCUUUUUCAGACGGAGUCCAAACGGAAUGAAACUUUACGAUGAUUUUUUUGGACCAAAAGAGACCCCCGAAGCUUUGGAAGAAGGCCAGAAGAGCCACGAGGGAGUCACAAACCCAUGGGGCACGGCCUACCCCCCAGGCCGCACUAUGCGGGCUUGUGACCUCCUCGUGGGCCCAACUGACGCAAUUCCACCGUCAUAAAUUCCUAUAAAUUCAGAAACUUCCAGAAAGAAACCUAGAUCGGGAGUUCCGCCGCCGCAAGCCUCUGUAGCCACCAAAAACCAAUCUGGAGCCCGUUCCGGCACCCUGCCGGAGGGGGAAUCCAUCUCCGGUGGCCAUCUUCAUCAUCCCGACGAUCUCCAUGAUGAGGAGGGAGUAGUUCUCCCUCGGGGCUGAGGGUAUGUACCACUAGCUAUGUGUUUGAUCUCUCUCUCGUGUUCUUGAGAUGCCUUGAUCUCGAUGUACCGUGGGCUUUGCUACUAUAGUUGGAUCUUAUGAUGUUCUUCCCCCUCUCCCUUCUUGUAAUGAAUUGAGUUUCCCAUUUGAUGUUAUCUUAUCGGAUUGAGUCUUUGAAAACACUUGAUGUUUGUCUUGCACGUGUCUAUGUGCUGUGAUCAACUUGCGGGUUUGUGACAAUUGGGAACCUAUGCAUAUGGGUUGGCACAGUGGAUUCAUGUGAGUACUCGAUGUAUGUUUUGGUGAUCAACUUGCGGGUUCGUGACAAUGGGAACCUAUGCAUAGGGGUUGGCACACGUUUUGACUCUCCGGUAGAAACUUCGGGGCACUCUUUGAAGUCCUAUGUGUUGGAUUGAAUAGAUGAUUCUGAGAUUGUGUGAUGCAUAUCGUAUAAUCAUGCCCACGGAUACUUGAGGUGAAAAUGGAGUAUCUAGGUGACAUUAGGGUCUUGGUUGAUACGUAUCUUAAGGUGUUAUUCUAGUACAAACUCUAUAAUAGAUUGAUCAGAAAGAAUACCUUUAUGGUGGUUUCGUACCAGACAAUAAUCUCUUCGUUUGUUCUCCGCUAUUAGUGACUUUGGAGUGACUCUUUGUUGCAUGUUGAGGGCUAGUUAUAUGAUCCAAUUAUGUUAUCAUUGUUGAGAGAACUUCACUAGUGAAAGUAUGAACCCUAGGCCUUGUUUCCACGCAUUGCAAUACCGUUCGUGCUCACUUUUGUUACUAGUUACCUUGUUGUUUUUGUAAUUUCAGAUUACGAAAACCUAUACCUACCAUCCAUAUUGCACUUAUUUCACCAUCUCUUCGCCGAACUAGUGCACAUAUACAACUUACAAUUGUAUUGGGUGUGUUGGGGACACAAGAGACUCUUUGUUAUUUGGUUGCAGGGUUGCUUGAGAGGGACCAUCUUCAUCCUACGCCUCCCGCGGAUUGAUAAACCUUAGGUCACCCACUUGAGGGAAAAUUGCUACUGUCCUACAACCCUCUGCUCUUGGAGGCCCAACAACGUCUACAAGGAGAGGGUUGCGUAGUAGACAUCAAGCAUUUUUCAGGCGCCGUUGCCGGGGAGGCUAGGUAAGCGGCACUAACAUCCAGUCAAGGAAGCAUUUUUCUGGGAGGUUAGCGCAUGAAGGUAUAUCUUUGGAUCUUGCAAUCGAAUCUUUUUGUUUCUUGUUCUUUCGCUAGAAAACUAUAAAAAAAUGGAAUUGAGGAUGCCUCAUAUGCUCCAUCUUUUCAAUGUCUUUCGUGAGCAUGAUGGGAAGGAAAAUUGUGCUCAAGUACUAAAAGAAGAAUUGCAUAGAAUGUUUGGCAUAGAAUAUGUGAAGGAUGAGCAUGAUUGCAAUGCUUUUAGCAUGAAUUUUUUGAAUACCCAUGAUGCUAAUGAUAUGCAAAGCCACAAGCUUGGGGAUGCUAUAUUUGAUGAAGAUGAUCUUUUUAGUUCUUCCGCUUUGAAUGAUCAAAAUUAUUUUGAUGAAAGCAUGUCCCCUAUCUAUGAUGAUUAUUGUGAGGAUACUUAUGCUAUAAAGAAGAGGGAUGAUAAAACUUGUCAUACUCCCGAGAACCCCUUUGCUAAACCUUGCUUUUUCAUUGUGGACACAAUUUGUAGUGCUCAAGUCUUUUACGAUACUCCCACUACUAUUCUUGAGAAUAGAUUUCCUUAUGUGGAGAGUAGUAAAAUUCCUAUGCUUGUAGAUCAUGCAAAGAAAGCCUUAGGUGUUGGUUAUAUUGUUGAAUUCAUUCAUGAUGCUACUGAAAAUUACUAUGAGAGAGGAUCAUAUGCUUCUACUUAUUGCAAUAGUAUCAAGCUUCCUCUCCAUGUGUUGAAAUUUUUGAAGCUAUGCUUGUUUUGCUUUCCUAUGCUAGUUGAUUCUUGCUCCAACAAGUUGUUUGUUCACACAAUCCCUAUGCAUAGGAAGUGGGUUAGACUUAAAUGUGCUAGCCACAUGCUCCAUGAUUCUCUCGUUGUGUUUCAAUCCUUACCUUUUAUGUGAGCAUCAUUGAAAUCAAUGCCUAGCUAAGGGCGUUAAACAAUAGCGCUUGUUGGGAGGCAACCCAAUGAAUUUAUUUUUGCUUUUUUUAUUUACUUUUUCUUUGUACACACCAUCAUAAUUCUGUUAUGAUUGUGUUUUUUGUGUUUUAAUUAGCGUUUGUGCCAAGUAAAGCCUUUAUGAUUACUUGGGUGAUAGUUGUUUGAUCAUGUUGGAAAAAGACAGAAACUUUCUGCUCACGAAAUUAUUUUUCAUUUUUAUCCAGAAAAAGCUUUUGAGUUGAUUCUUUUUUCUGCUGGUAUAUAUGCUUUUUCCCAGGCCGUCGUAAUGUUUCAGAUUUUUUGAGGUACCAUAAGUAUACGAAGUAUACAGAUUGCUACAGAUUGGUCUGUUUUUUACAGAUUCUGUUUUUGUUGAGUUGGUUGCUUGUUUUGAUGAAACUAUGGUUAGUAUCGGGUGGUACUGGCCAUGGAAAAGUAAUAAUACAGUAGCCCAACUUCAAUUUAGGUAGAAUUCAAGUUUUCUACAGUAUCAAAAGAAGUGGUAGUUUGUUUUCUUGUGCUAAUGUUAUCACGAGUUUCUGUUUAAGUUUUGUGUUGUGAAGUUUUCAAGUUUUGGAUGAUGUUCUCAUGGACGGUGAGAUAAGGAGUGGAAAGAGCUCAAGCUUGGGGAUGACCAAGGCAUCCCAAGACAAAUUCAAGGACACCAAAAAGCCUAAGCUUGAGUAUUCUAUAGNNNNNNNNNNNNNNNNNNNNNNNNNNNNNNNNNNNNNNNNNNNNNNNNNNNNNNNNNNNNNNNNNNNNNNNNNNNNNNNNNNNNNNNNNNNNNNNNNNNNGGACGUUCCACUACAUCAACCGCGUUCACUAACGCUUCUGCUGUACGAUCUACAAGGGUACGUAGAUCACUCAUCCCCUCUCGUAGAUGGGCAUCACCAUGAUAGGUCUUCAUGCGCGUAGGAAAAUUUUUGUUUCGCAUGCGACGUUCCCCAACACAUCCUUACAUGGCAAUCCCUACUCCUCACAUUAUAUCUAUCAUCUGGCUUUCUCUCGCCUAUGGUUGUCCUCAUUGAUGUGAGCCUUUCACACCUUUUUGUAUUCCUUCCCCAUCAUUAUUCUAUUUUCCAUCCUAUGUGCCAACAUAUCUUGCUUACGCUCAUCCAUUGCAUGAGUGCUCAAAGUCGAAAGGGAGAGGAUCAUUUUGUCUUGUGCCUGACUAGUGGUUUGGGGAUGAGUCCAAAUAAGAUUCCGAAGGAGACCAAGAGUGAAAUUUUUAGUAUAUAGAGUUCUCAAUUAAAAAAUAUUUCAUGAUCUCAACCCAUCUCCCACUUCUUGCACGCAAACACUAUUUGGAGACAUUCAAAUCAUGGACAGCGAGAGCUCUUGCACCUUUAUGUUCUUACUUUGCUAAACUCAAUACUAGAUAUAAACUCUUGCUUGUUAUUGUCUUGACUUGAAUUGCAUAUAUCACCUUCUUUACUUUGACGUUCUUAUAUGUGUGUUAGCAUGUCACCAAAGAAAUUAUUGUGUUAUCAUUUAUCUACUCAAGGACGAGCAGAAAUUAAGCUUGGGGAUGUUGAUACGUCCCAAACGUAUCCACAAUUUCUGCUUGUUCCAUGAUCCUUUGAGUGACAUUGUUAUACGUUUUGCUACACUUCUAUAUCAUUNNNNNNNNNNNNNNNNNNNNNNNNNNNNNNNNNNNNNNNNNNNNNNNNNNNNNNNNNNNNNNNNNNNNNNNNNNNNNNNNNNNNNNNNNNNNNNNNNNNNUCACUCUAGCAACCCAUCAUCUACUUAUUACUCCACAAUGCCUUCCCUUAGUCCCAUAACAUGGUGAAAUGUCGUGUAGUUGACGUUCACAUGGCACCACUAAGGGAAGGAACAACAUACAUAUCAUCAAAAUAUCAAACGAAUACCAACUUCACAUGAUUACUUAUAACAAGACUUCUCCUGUGUCCUCAGGAACAAAAGUAACUACUCACACAUCAUCAAUAUUUUCAACAUCAGAUGUGUAAUAACAUUAAUUAAGGAUCUGAUCAUAGUAUCUUCCACCAAGUAAACCAACUAGCAUCAACUACGAGAUGUAAUCGACACUACUAGUAACCCAUAGUUACCAAUCUGAGGUGUUGAGAUAAAGAUUGAAUACAAGAGAUGAACUAGGGUUUGAGAUGGUGUUGGUGAAGAUGUUGAUGAAGAUCAGUCCUCCCACGAAGGGGGAAGCGUUGGUGAUGAUGAUGGCUUCGAUUUCCCCCUCCUGAAGGGAAGUUUCCCCAACAGAUUUGCUUUGCCGGAGAGCAAAAGGGCCACUGCCUAGGUUUCUACCUCGAGAUGGCGGCGCUUCAUCCCAAAAGUCUCUGAUUUUUCUAGGUCAAAACACACAUUAUAGCAGAUGAGGGGGCCAGGGCACCUGGUAGGGGCCCACAAGCAUGGGCGCGACCUAUUGGCUUGUAGCGAGCAUACGGGCCCCCUCUGGUUUAUUUUUGGCCAACAAUUCAUAUAUAUUCCAUAGAAAUUCUCCGUGAAGUUUUAGGUCAUUUGGAGUUUAGUGAUUUUUUAGCCUUUUUCUUGGUUUUUACGUCCAGAAUUCCAGUUUCCGGCAAUUUCCCUCUUUGUGAUGUACCUUGUAAAUUCAGAGAGAAAAGGCAUAAAAAUUGUAUCAUAAUGAGGAAUAAUGGAAGAAUAACUUAAAUAUCAAUAAGAAUUUGUGAUGCAAAAUGGUCGUAUUAGUCGGGUCCUCACUAUUCUGACGGUCAGAUCGGUGCCGAUGACCAUGGUUGAGGCAUCACGCGAGCGGGCUCGGUGGCGGCCGUUGGUAGUCACGAGAUUUUUGAUGGGGAACGUUGCUUGGGAAACAAAAAAACUCCUACGCACACGCAAGAUCUAUCCAUGGUCAUCUACGAGAGGGGAGAUUAGAUCUGCAUACCCUUGUAGACCGCUGAGCGGGAAGCGUUAAGAAACGCGGUUGAUGUAGUCGAACAUCUUUGCGAUCAGAAUCGCAAGUGUCUCAUGAACUCCAUCCCGAUUUAGCGUCGAACGGACGGCACCUCCGUGUUCAGCACACGUGCGGCUCGAUGACGAUCUCCGCCUUCUUGAUCCAGCAAGAGAUACGAAAAGGUAGUUGAAUUCUCCGACAGCAUGACGGCGUGGCGACGAUGUAGGUGGAGCUACUCCGGCAGGGCUUCGUCGUACCAUACCGAACUAGCUACGGGAUGUCACGAAGUGGUGGAGGGAGAGAGGGUUGCGCCUUGGCUUGAGGUGCCAAAAGCCUAUCUCACCUCCACUAUAUAUAGGAGGGAGGGGAGGGGUGGCGCCCCAGGGCAAGGCCCUAGGGUUCGGUCGGCGCAAGAGGGGAGGGAGGAGUCCUCCUUCAACACAACUUGGUAGGCGAGUCCUCCUUCCCCAAUUCGUUUGGCCCCGCCCUCCUUUCCUUUCUCCCUUUGGCCAAAUAGGCCGCUUUGGGUUGGCCACCAGCCCACUAAGGUUUGGUGCGCCACCCUUGGGAUUCUUUGGUUCUCUCACGGGUAGGUGGCCCCUCCGGUAGAACUCCAGAACCCAUUCGUCACUCCCGAUACCUUAUCGGUAAUGCCCAAAAACCUUCCGGAAGCCAAAUGGAUACUUACUUUAUAUCAAUCUUCGUCUCUGGACCAUUUUGGAAACCCUCGUGACAUGGGAUCUCAUCUUGGACUCCGAACAACCUUCGGUUACCAACAUCCAUAAUUCAACUAUACCGAAACGUCAGUGAACCUUAAGUGUGCAGACCCUGCGGGUUCUAGAACUAUGUAGACAUGACCGAGACACUCUCCGGUCAAUAACCAAUAGCGGGACCUGGAUGCCCAUUAACUCCUGCUCGUCCUCGAGUAGGGAAGUGAUAAAGAAUGAAUUUUUGAUGCUUUCAUGCUACCUAGCAUAGAUGUCCUUUGUAACUCCUCUUAUGUGACGUGAAUGUUCAGAUCCAUUAGAUUCAAAACAAUAGUUUGCUAUUGAUGUGGAAACAAUAUAAUUCAAGCAAACUAUCAAGGUAAUCAUGAACUUUCAAAAUAACAAGGCCAAAAGAAAGUUAUCCCUACAAAAGCAUAUAGUCUGGCUAUGCUCUAUCAUCAUUGCACAACGAAUUUAAAUCAUGCACAACCCCGGUAUUGGCCAAGUAAUUGGUUCACACCUUUACUUUCUCAAACCUUUUCAACUCUCAUGCAAUACAUGAGCGUGAGCCAUGGUUAUAGCACUAUAGAUGAUGUGGAGUGUGGUGGAGGUUGCAAGACAAAAAAGGAGAAGAUAGUCACAUUAACUAGGCAUAUCAAUGAGUUGUGGAGAUGCUCAUCAAUAGAUAUCAAUGUGAAUGAGUAGGGAUUGCCAUACAAAUGAUGCACUAGAGCAAAGAGUAUGUGAAAGCUCUUAAAGAAAACUAAUGGGUGUGCAUCCAACUUGCUUGCUCACGAAGACCUAAGGCAAUUUUGAGGAAGCCUAUCAUUGGAAUAUACAAGCCAAGUUAUAUAAUGAAAAUUUCCCACUAUCUAUAUGGUGGUGACAAAACGAGAGACUCUCAAUCAUGAAGAUCAUGGUGCUUAAUAUGCACAAGUGUGGAAAAAGUGGUAGCAUUAUCCCUUCUCUCUUUUUCUCUCUUUUUUUUGGUGGGCUCUUUGGCCUCUUUUAUUUUUAUUUUGGUGGGCUUCUUUGGCCUCUUUUAUUUCCUCACAUGGGACAAUGCUCCAUUAAUGAUGAUCAUCACACUUUCAACUCAAAACUUAGAGCAACUAUGACUCUAUAUGGAAUGCCUUCGGUAGUGUACCGUGGCAAUGAUCUAGCAUGGCAUAGACAUCAAUGGAAACAUCAUGCUAGUUAUCUUACGAUCAAGCAAUGUCAAUGUAGACAUGGUGGCACAUGUCAUGGUGGUAGUUGCAUGGCAAUAUAUCUCGGAAUGACUUUGAAAAAGCCAUAGUAGGUAGGUAUGGUGGCUGUUUUGAGGGAGGCUAAUGGUGGGUUUUGUGCACCGGCGAAAGUUGCACGGCACUAAGAAGAUAGUGAUGGUGGCAGGUGAAAGUGCAUCUAAACCAUGGACUCAACAUUAGUCAUGAAGAACUCAUAUACUUGUUGCAAAAGUUUUAUUAGUAAUCAAAGCAAAGCAUUAAACGCAUACUCCUAGGGGAAGGGUUGGUAGGUAUAAACCAUCGCGCGAUCCCGACCGCCACGCAAAGGAUGACAAUCAAUAGACUAAUCAUGCUCAGAUUUCAUCACAUAGCGGUUCACCAUACGUGCAUGCGACGGGAAUCACUAACUUCAACACAAGUAUUUCUAGAUCCACAACACCUUACUAGGAUGACUUCAAUAUUACCAUAACCACAACUCAAAACUAAUUGAGAUGAAUCAAACUUCUCUAACUAUUCAAUGCACAUGAAGGUGGAAGUUUUUGUAUCCCUUUGGAUAACUACCCCUUUUGAGACUACUUUCAAAGCAUAGAUGAACUACCAAGCCACGCACCACUGUGCUCUAAAAGAUAUAAGUGAAGCACGUAGAGCAAAAGUAUCUAGCUCAAAAGAUAUAAGUGAAGCACAUGUGAGCUGAAUUGUCUACCAAAAGAUAUAAGUGAAGCUCGAGAAAAUCACGGUGAGUGCAUGUCUCUCUCUCUAGGUGUGCAGAAAGGAUGAUUGUGACACAACAAAAAUAAAAGACUCCUACGAUACAAGAAGCUCCAAGAAAAAAACACAUAACAUGUGGUGAAUAAAAAUAUAGCCCCAAGUAACGUUACCGAUGGAUUGAAGACAAGAGAGGGGAUGCCUUCCCGGGGCAUCCCCAAGCUUAGGCUUUUACGGCAUCCUUGAAUCUCUUGGGGUGCCUUGGGAAUUCCCAAGCUUGAGCUCUUGCCACUCUUUAUCUUUUUGUCCAUAAGAACUUCACCCAAAACUUGAAAACUUCACAACACGAAACUUAAACAGAAACUCGUGAUAACAUUAGUAUGAGAAAGUGAAAGGAUCGAUAUGGUUGGCUAGAGGGGGGUGAAUAGACAACGACCACUUUUUAAUUAAUCUUAGCAAGUUAAGGUAAACACUAUACGGGUUCACAAAUAAUAUGACAAUGAGGUGAACCCUAUAGAAGCUAACNNNNNNNNNNNNNNNNNNNNNNNNNNNNNNNNNNNNNNNNNNNNNNNNNNNNNNNNNNNNNNNNNNNNNNNNNNNNNNNNNNNNNNNNNNNNNNNNNNNNGGGGUGGCGGUGUCAGGGCUUGUGGCGCCCUGGCAGCCCCCCUCCGAUAGUUCUUUCGCCCAGUAUUUUUUAUAUAAUCCCAAAAAAAUCCAAGUAACUUUUCAGGGCAUUUGGAGAUGUGCAGAAUAGUGGACUAAGAUUUUCACCUUUUCUAGUCCAGAAUUCCGACUGCCUGAAUUCUCCCUCUUCAAAUAAACCUUGCAAAAUAAGAGAGAAAAGGCAUAAAUAUGGUACCACAAGUAAUAUAAUAGCCCAAAAAGCAAUAAAUAUCAACAUGAAAGCAUGAUGCAAAAUGGACGUAUCACCGUCCCCCUUUAGGGUGGGAAAUCCUAAAGGUGGCGCCACCCUCCCAUCCCCCUAUAUAUAGCGGGGGUUUUUGGCCUUUGAGAACACGGUUUUUGAUCUCUCUCGGUGCAGCCCUCUCUCUCUUCUUCCUCCUCUCCCAUGGUGCUUGGUGAAGCCCUGCCGGAGACCUCAUCUCUCCAUUGACACCAUGCCGUCGUGCUGCCGGAGAUCUUCCCCUAACUCUCCCUCCUCCUUGCUGGAUCAAGGUGCGGGAGACGUCACCGGGUUGCACGUGUGUUGAAUGCGGAGGUGCCGUGAUUCGGCACUAGAUCGGAAUCACACCGCGCUGUGAAUCGCCGCGAGUACGACUCCAUCAACCGCGUUCUAGCAAAGCUUCCGCUUAGCGAUCUUAAAAGGUAUGAAGAUACACUCACCCCUCUCUCGUUGGCGGUCUCUCCAUGGGAAGAUCUGAAUAUGACGUAGGAAAAUUUUGAAUUUAUGCUACGUUACCCAACAGUGGCAUCAGAGCCAGGUUUUCUAUGCGUAGAUUCCAUGGACGAGUAGAACACAAAAGGUUGUGGGCGCUGAUUUUCCAAUUGCUUGCCGCUACUAGUCUUAUUAUUUUCCGGCGGUAUUGUGGGAUGAAGCGGCCCGGACCGACCUUACACAUACGCUUACGUGAGAUAGGUUCCACUGGCUGACAUGCACAACAUGGAUAAAGGUGGCUAGAGGGUGUCUGUCUCUCCCACUCUAGUCAGAUUGGAUUUGAUGAAAAGGGUCCUUAUGAAGGGUAAAUAGCUUUGGCUUAUCAUCGUUGUGGCUGUCACGUAGGUAAGAAGGCAUUCUUGCUAGAAACCCAAAUCAGCCAUGUAAAACUUGCAAAAAACAAUUAGAGGACGUCUAACUUGUUUUUGCAGGGUUUGACAUGUGAUGUGAUAUGGCCAAAGUAGUGAUGUUACAUGUGUGAUGUAUGAUAUGAUCAAUUUAUUGUAAUGGGAAUCACGACUUGCAUGUCGUUGAGUAUGACAACCGGCAGGAGCCAUAGGAGUUGUCUUAAUUUAUUUUAUGAGAUGCAACGCCAUGUGUUUACUACCUUUACUUCAUUGCUAACGGUUAGCUAUAGUAGUAGUAGUUGUAGUUGGCGUGAUGACUUCACGGAGACACGAUGAUGGAGAUCAUGAUGAUGGAGAUCAUGGUAUUACGCCGGUGACAAUGAUGAUCGUGCGAUGCCCGAAGAUGGAGAUCGAAAGAGCAAAGAUAAUAAUGGCCAUAUCAUGUCACUAUAUGAUUGCANNNNNNNNNNNNNNNNNNNNNNNNNNNNNNNNNNNNNNNNNNNNNNNNNNNNNNNNNNNNNNNNNNNNNNNNNNNNNNNNNNNNNNNNNNNNNNNNNNNNUAUCCUUGCUUUAAUUAACCCAACAAUGACAUAGUUAGCCCAUUUAGCUCCAAAAUACCGUAAUAAGCUCAAAAUGGCAUAAGAACCUUGGUUAGCUCAUGAAUAUUAUAUACUUAGCUUCUUUUCCUCUAAAAUGACAUAAUUGGAAUAUUUAGCUCAAAAAAGACAUAAUUAGGUAAUUUAGCUCCAACAAGAGGAGAAGAGGAGAAGAAAUAGGCAAAAUGAAAAGAAAGAAGAAGAAGAGAUGAAGAAGAAGAGAAGAAGGAGGAGGAGGAGGAGGAGGAGGAGGAGACUUUUCACCAUCAUCAUAUGUCUUCCUUUUAAAGAACCAUCUGUACUAAAUAGUCUUACGACCAUCAAGUAGUUCUUACAAAGUCUACACAUUGUUUUUAUACACGGAUCCUCUCUCGGAUUUCAUGGCCUCCAGCCAUUUGCCGGAAUCCGGGCCCACCAUCGCUUCUCCAUAGCUCAUAGGUUCGUUGUUGUUUAACAACAUGACCUCUAAGACAGGGUUACCGUACCACUCCGUAGCAGUACGCGACCUUGUUGACCUACGAGGUUUGUAGUAACUUGAUCCGAAGCUUAAUGAUCACUAUCAUCAAUUUCCACUUCAAUUGGCGUAGGCGCCAGAGGAACAACUUCCUACGCCUUGCUACACACUGGUUGAAGUGACGGUUCAAUAACCUGAUCAAGUUCCACCACCCUCCCACUCAAUUCAUUCGAGAGAAACUUUUCCUCGAGAAAGGACCCGUUUAUAGAAACAAGCACUUUGCUUCUGGAUCUGAGAUAGGAGGUAUACCCAACUAUUUUGGGUGUCCUAUGAAUAUGCAUUUAUCCUCUUUGGGUUCGAGCUUAUCAGGCUGAAACUUUUUUACAUAAGCAUCGUAGCCCCAAACUUUUAGGAAACGACAAUUUAAGUUUCCACAAACCAUAGUCGAUACGGUGUCAUAUCAACAGAAUUACGUGGUGCUCUAUUUAAUGUGAAUGCGGUUGUCUCCAAUGCCUAAUGCAUAAAUGAUAGUGGUAAUUCGAUAAGAUAAAUCAUAGUAUGCGCCAUAUCCAAUAGGGCGCGGCUAUGACGUUCGGACACCAUGACACCAUGGUGUUCUAGGUGGCAUGAGUUGUGAAACAAUUUUCACAUUGCCUUAAUUGUGUACCAAACUCGCAACUCAGAUAUUCAUCUCUAUGAUCAUAUCAUAGACAUUUUAUCCUCUUGUCAUGAUGAUCUUCAACUUCACCCUGAAAUUACUUGAACCUUUCAAUAAUUCAGACGUGUGUUUCAUCAAGUAAAUACACUAGUAUCUACUCAAAUCAUCUGUGAAGUACAUAAUGAUAUCCACUGCGUGCCUCAGCACUCAUUGGACUGCAUACAUCAAAAUGUAUUACUUCCGAUAAGUUACUUUCUUGUUCCAUCUCACUUGAAAUUGAGGCCUUCAGUCAUCUUGCCCGUGUGGUAUGAUUUGCAUGUCUCAAGUGAUUCAACAUCAAGUGAGUCCAAAUAUCCAUCAGUAUGGAGCUUCUUCAUGCGUUGUACAAUAAUAUGACUCAAGCGGCUGUGCCACAAGUAAGUGGUACUAUCAUUAGUACUUUGUAUCUUUUGGCAUUAAUAUUAUGAACAUGUGUACCACUACGAUCGAGACUCAAUAAACCAUUGAAGGUAUUUGUUCAAGCAAAUAGAAUAACCAUUAUUCUCUUUAAAUGAAUAAUCGUAUUACAAUAAACACGAUCUAAUCAUGUUCAUGCUCAAUGCAAACACCAAAUAACAAUUAUUUAGGUUUAACACUAAUCAUGAUGGUAGAGGGAGAGUGCGAUGUUUGAACACAUUAACCUUAGAAUUACUUCCAAGACACAUCGUCACCUCACCCUUGCUAGUAACCAUUUAAUCUAUAGCUAUAAUUUCGAGUUAAUAAAACUUACCAACUGAACCGGUAUCUAAUACCCUGGUGCUACUAGGAGUACUAGUGAGGUACACAUCAAUAUCAUGUAUAUCCAAUAUACUUUUGUCAACUUUGCCAGCUUUCUCAUCUACCAAGUAUCUAGGGUAGUUCCACCUCAGUAACCGUUCCCCUCAUAACAGAAGCACUUCGUCUUGGAUUUGGGUACAACCUUGGGUUUGUUCACUAGAGCAGCUACUGGUUUGCCGUUUCAUGAAGUAUCCCUUCUUGCCCUUGCCCUUCUUGAAACUAGUGGUUUUUCUAACCAUCAACAAUUGAUGCUCCUUUUUGGUUUCUACUUUUGCGGUGUCAAACAUCGCGAAUAGCUCAAGGAUUAUCAUAUUUAUCCCUGAUCUGUUAUUGCUCAUCCCAAAGCUCUAGUAGCUUGGUGGCAGUGACUUUGGAGAACCAUCACAAUCGCAUUUGGAAGAUUAACUCCCACUCGAUUCAAGCGAUUGUAGCGCUCAGACAAUCUGAGGAAAUGCUGAACGAUUGAGCUUUUCUCCCUUACUUUGUAGACAAAGAAUCUUGUUGGGGGUCUCAUACAUCUCAACAAGGGCACGAGCAUGAAAUCCCAGUUUAUUCUCUUCGAACAUCUCAUAUGUUCCGUGACGUUCAAAACGUCUUCUGUGCCUCAAUUCUAAGCCGUUUAAGCAUUACGCACUGAACUAUCAUGUAGUCAUCAAAAACGUGUAUGUCACAUGUUCGCAACAUCCACACACGACGUUCGAGGUUCAGCACACCGAGUGGAGCAUUAAGGAGAUAAGCCUUCUGCGGAGCAAUGAGGACAAUCCUCAGUUUACGGACCCAGUCCGCAUAAUUGCUACUAUAAUCUUUCAAUUAAAUUUUCUCUGGGAACAUAUAAAAACAAUAGAGCUACAACGCAAGCUACAACAUAAUUUGCAAAGACCUUUUGACUAUGUUCAUGAUAAUUAAGUUUAGCUAAUCAUAUUACUAAUAACUCCCACUCAAAAUAGACAUCCCUCUAGUCAUUCGAGUGGCGCAUGAUCCAAAUCCACUAACUCAANNNNNNNNNNNNNNNNNNNNNNNNNNNNNNNNNNNNNNNNNNNNNNNNNNNNNNNNNNNNNNNNNNNNNNNNNNNNNNNNNNNNNNNNNNNNNNNNNNNNUCGUCAUAAUACAAAAGAUAUUACUUUAACAAAGAAACAAAAAAAGGGGAUGCAACAAUGACAAUUUAAAUAAACAAAACAUUUAUAGACACCAUAACAACAGCAACACCUAUAGACGGAAGGGUGCACACUCACGGUGUCCCGGCUUUCUCGUUGAGGGCAUUGGCACGUUCUAAGUACGUUUGAGCUUCAUUCUUGAGGAGGACGGCCUUUUGGGGUGGGGCAGCAGCGGCCUCCUUCUGUUUAUCGGCAGCCCACUUAACAUAUCCUACGGCUCCGGAUUGAUAGUUGCAAAAAUGAAUGCACUUUGGGCUGCAAACCUCUAGUUCUCCCUUGCAGCGCUUGAUACAUUUGUCCCAACAAAACUCUUCGGCAGUUGCCACUGGUGUUGAUACCGCUGCUGCCAUCAUAACCAGGAGGGUAACGACAUCAAUUGUGUUCCUAGUAUUCACCGCCAUUCUGGACCGUGAGAUUACUUCCACAGGGUGUGACAGGUUUAGAAGGAGAUUUUUGAUGAGGAGAUGAUCGUUUAUGGAUGCUGUGCUAGCCAUUGUCCGGUUAAAUAGCAUUCCUAGGAGAAGAACGUGUGGCCAUGAGAGAUACAUGGACAACCACACGUUGUAAGUGACAUGCAUGUCGAUCUGCGUGCGCGGUACCCAUUACCCCUUAUUUUUACCCAAAUACAUAUGGGUGCUAACUGAUUGGCUAGAAAGUUUUAUUUUCGAUGGUACACGUAAUUGUUACGAGGAAUGCAUAAACUGGGUCAUCCACAAUAAAUUUCUACUGAUCUAGUUCUGACAUAGCAAUGCAUCAUGGAGGACCGCCAAUAUUUUUAUGUUGAAAACCAUUCGAAUAUUAGCAGUGAUUGUUCGAUGGUACCAUGCAUGCAUUCAUGUGUUACAAAACAACAGGACCUCGGUUAUGCAUGCAUAAUCCCAUCGGACUAUAAAAGGAUCAGAAAUUACCUGUUAGUAUUCUAUGUGUUUGAAUAACUUGACAUGGGCUGGGCUGUAGGGCAAUGAUCGUAAUAUGUAUGUAUGAGAGGAUGAUUCCUCUCUAAUAUGAGUAGCUUAGAAAAAAUCGUUUCUCUCUCUGCUCAAUUGGUCUCUUCUCUCGUGGCAUAACUUGUGGCUGAUGUAUAGUAAGCCGAAUUCUCAUAAUCUUAUGAUGUGAGUGAACUUUCUCGACACAAAAGAAUAUUAUAUUAUAUAACUAUAAGCUUCAAGUGUUCCAGGUUUUCUUAGUGCCGCAACUCCUUCCAAUUUGGUUAUUUUCACCAACCAACAAAUUGUUUCUUGUAUCUCUAUUAUGCUGCUAGCGGUAUAAGAGUGCAUGCCUAUACCUAAAAAUUUGUUUGGAGGGCAUAAGAAAAAUGUAUCAUAUGAUUUACUUUUUCCUCUUAAUUAGAGGGUUUACAAAAUGCAUUUUUUUAAUUCUUUUUAAAUUUUCAAAUGAGAUUAUGUUUUGUAGUGCUCAGCAAAAAAGAAUCAAUUUGAAUAAUUCGUCAAAAAUUUUCAAAAUUUGUUUUCCCUGAGUGGCUUGGUCCUCAAUCAGGGGAACAGUGAUUUGAUUAAUACUUGUACCUAUUCAGAAAGUACAACAUUGAAAUUUGACAGGACAAAAGCCGUAAUAGUGCAAAUCUCACACAUUUGGUGCGAAUUCAGCAAGAAGGAGAAGGUGGCUCACCUCGCUCAAGUCAUUGGAAUAAUGAAGGAUUGUAAGAAUGUUGUUUUAUCAAAUUAUUAUAUGAGGGUUUUCAAAAAAUGGAAUAAAGGAAAUUCAGAUCCUUACCCAACAAGGUGUUCAGUCCUAUGGUUGAGGGUGGGUUUUCAAAUGAAAUUACUAGUUAUCGACUAGAGGGGGGUUGAAAAUAGGCAAUUUCUAUGAAGUGCUUCGAAAGACUGAAUGUAUUCAAAGUAUGGAGAAGCGAAACAAUAUCAAGUAGAGAUAACAAUCAAGGAUCUAAGAUGUUAAGCAUAGUCAUUGUACACACUAAGAUAAAUCAUAGAUAAAUUCAGACAAUAUGAUGAUAAACGGCAGGUAUGAAUGUCUUUCGUGGUAUGUGUUAACACAGUUAGGUAAAAGAGUGAAAGAUAGAACCGUUAGUUUGAUAAAGACACAAGAUUUGUUGGUCGAGUUCUAGUUGUUGUGACAACUGUACGUCUGGUUGGGGAGGCUGAGAAAUAACUCCGAAGACCUCGUAUUCACCUUGUUCCCCUGGAGCCGAAGUCACUUAGACCACGUCCAAUCACUCAAGUAAGUCUUUAGGGGAGAGUUCUGAAAUCCGUAAAGAUUUGGUCACCCGAGAAUCCACAAUGACUCUUGGAUGCUCUAGACCCAAAUGCCUAACCGUCUGAAAUAUCACAGUCUUCAAGUGUAAUACGUCUUCAGUUCACUCAGAACAGAACAACUUCGGUGAUGCUCAAACACACUAGCUCUACUUGUUUGGGUUUAUCCUCGAAGGAUCGUUUUCUCUCAGUGCCUUCGAGGUGGGUUGCUCCAAAACAACAACACACGUAUCAAACUCUGAGCAGCCGCCAACUUGUGGUGAAGGGGAUGGGCUAUUUAUAGCCAACACACAACCCAACCUGAUAGGACCGAAAUUAUUUAGAGUAGGAAACGAGAGACAAGACAAAAGAUGUAAAAUGAAUCGUUGUUCUCAUUGAUGAUGGAUUACACAUAUAUAUAGCCCCCAAAGGGGUGCGUCCGAAGGGACAUGAGGCAACCGCCCCGGUUAGAAAAAGGAGGGAUUAAUACGAUUAAUUAAAUCCUAACACUCCCCCUAAUCCAUUCUAGUUAGUGUAAGCCUUGUCAUCUUUAAAACACCUACAAAACCCUGUGGGAAAAUAAGGAUAUAUGUGUUUGAUAUGUUGCUAAAACUUAUGUAAAGCCACUGGGGAAAUAAGGAUAAAAUGAUGCAACAUAUAGCGGUUAUUGUCUCUUGUAACUCAAUCAAGGAGACUCAUAGAGUUUAGAGUACAAUACAUACAUCUUACAUACUUCCUUAAAAUCGCCGGGGAAAACAAAAAGUAGGACAUAUGAUCUCAUGUUGAUAUUACCUCAUUAAAAACCUUUAUGAGAACCUCUAUAGCAAAAUGAUGAAGGAAAAAAGAGUAUAAUAUGAUGCAUAGAACAUGAAUAAUUCAGGAAGAUACUUCCCCUGUUUGUUGCGAAUUUCGAAGCCGUCACGUACCAAUUCCAAUAACAUAUUUAUGGAAUGUAAAAGUUGAUAGAGACUUCGUGAGAAAUCGGUCACAUGAUUUGAUUUGCGAGAUAUGCAUAUAGCGAUGUUGCUUAUUGCAUAACCUAUUUGCAUCCGGGAAACACAAGAAACAUUAUCGUCUAGAUAAUGGUUGGUGGAUGUAGCCACGAGGUCUGUUUGAAGACUCUUCAUGGGAGGGCUACCACACUACUGGAAUUCAGUUAUUUCUCGUCAGCCCCUUCUUUGCCGUCCGCUGGCUGAUGGCAAAGACCCUAUUAGCCGUCAGUCACCAGAAAACUGACGGCAAAGAGCACACGGAUGGCAAAGAUACUCUUUGCCAUAAGUCUUUUCUUUGUCGUCUGCGGGCAGACGGCAAAGAGCAGGAGGGCAGACGGNNNNNNNNNNNNNNNNNNNNNNNNNNNNNNNNNNNNNNNNNNNNNNNNNNNNNNNNNNNNNNNNNNNNNNNNNNNNNNNNNNNNNNNNNNNNNNNNNNNNAUCCGUCGGAUGCCGAUCCCUCUGGCAAGCCAGAGGCCGUGUGCGAGCGCCUCGUACUCGGCCACGUUGUUGGAGGCGGCGAAGUGGAUUUGGAGAGCAUAUUUGAGUUGGUCCCCUUUCGGGCACGUCAGGAUGAUGCCGGCUCCCAGGCCGGUCCGCAUCUUGGAGCCGUCGAAGUGCAUCCGCAAGUGUGUGGAGUCGGGAGGCGGCUGUUGGGUAACAUAGCAUAAAUUCAAAAUUUUCCUACGUCAUAUUUAGAUCUUCCUAUGGAGAGACCAGCGACGAGAGAGGGGUGAGUGGAUCUUCAUACAUUUGAAGAUCGCUAAGCGGAAGCGUUGCUAGAACGCGGAUGAUGGAGUCGUACUCACGGCGAUUCUGAUCGCGGUGUGAUUCCGAUCUAGUGCUGAAUCAUGGCACCUCCGUUUUCAACACACGUGCAGCCCGGUGACGUCUCCCGCACCUUGAUCCAGCAAGGAGGAGGGAGAGGUUGGGGAAGAUCUCCGGCAGCACGACUUUGCCAAGCACCAUAGGAGAGGAGGAAGAAGAGAGUGAUACGUCUCAAACGUAUCUAUAAUUUUUGAUGGUUUAACGCUUUUAUCUUGUCUUCUUUGGUUGUUUUAUGUACCUUUUAUAUCUUUUUUUGGACUAACUUAAUAAUUCAGUGCCAAGUGCCAGUUCCUGUUUUUUCCGUGUUUUUUACUCUUUUCAGAUCUGAUUUUGGAAUGGAGUCCAAACGGAAGAAAAACCCCGAAAUGAUUUUUCCCGAACAGAAGAAGAUCAUGGGGCCUUUGGGCCAGGCCAGGUGUGCUCCAGGAAGCCCACAAGCCCCCACUCCGCCACCAGGGGAGGCUGCGGUGGGCAGGCUUGUGGCCUCCUUGGCCACCCCCUGACCUAGGUCUUUAGCAUAUAAAUUCCCAAAUAUUCCUCAAAAAAUCAGGGGAGCCUCGAAAAUACUUUUAUGCCGCCGCAAGCUUCUGUUUCCACAAGAUCUCAUCUGGAGACCCUUCCCGGCGUCCUGCCGGAGGGAACUUUGGAGUUGGAGGGCUUCUUCAUCAUGAUCAUCGCCCCUCCAAUGACUCGUGAGUAGUUCACUUCAGACCUACGGGUCCGUAGUUAGUAGCUAGAUGGCUUCUUCUCUCUCUUGGAUCUUCGAUACAAAGUUCUCCAUGAUCUUCAUGGAGAUCCAUCCAAUUUAAGCUUGUUUGGCGGUGUGUUUGUCGAGAUCCGAUGAAUUGUGGAUUUGUGAUCAGAUAAUCUAUGAUAUAUAUUUGAGUCUUCAUUCAUUUCUUAUAUGCGUGAUUUGAUAUCCUUGUAAGUCUCUCCGAGUCUCGGGUUUUGUUUGGCCAACUAUAUCUAUGAUCCUUGCAAUGGGAGAUGUGCUUGGUUUUGGGUUCUACCAUGUGGUGACCUUUCCCAGUGACAGUAGGGGCAGCAAGGCACACAUCAAGUAGUUGCCAUCAAGGGUAAAAAGGUGGGGUUUUAAUCAUUGGUUUUAGAUUAUCCCUCUACAUCAUGUCAUCUUGCUUAAGGUGUUACUCUGUUCNNNNNNNNNNNNNNNNNNNNNNNNNNNNNNNNNNNNNNNNNNNNNNNNNNNNNNNNNNNNNNNNNNNNNNNNNNNNNNNNNNNNNNNNNNNNNNNNNNNNGCGGGAGCCAUGGUCCCCGAGGCCCCAUCCCUCGCCGUGGAGGCCGACUCGCCCAUGGAUUCUGCUAUGUGAUGUCUACGGACGCUUCUAUUGUUGUAGACUAUGUUGGGCCUCCAAGCGCAGAGGUUUGUAGGAUAGCAGCAAUUUCCCUCAAGUGGAUGACCUAAGGUUUAUCGAACUCAAGGAAGUAGAGUUUAAAGAUGGUCUCUCUCAAGCAACCCUGCAAUUAAGAUACAAGAAGUCUCUUGCGUCCCCAACACACCUAAUACAAUUGUCAGUUGUAUAGGUGCACUAGUUCGGCCAAGAGAUGGUAAAAUAUGGGUGAUAGGUGUGGAAAAGCAAGGUAAUAUGAAUUUGAAAUAAAAAUGGCAGCAAGGUAGCAAGUGACAACAUUGAGCAUAAACGGUGUAACAAUGGUGGAAAAAAAGGCCCAUGCUUCAUACUUUCACUAGUGGCAACUCCCAACAACAUUAACAUAAUCUAAUCACAUGAUAUUUCCACUAAAACAUGCAAUGGAGAUGUACUUAGAGGUCAUUCCUUUGUGAUCAAGAGAGGACGAUAAUUAUGUAGGGCUACAAAAGCACACCUUAGAGUUCGUAGUUCUCAUCUAUGGAUUUCCCAAUGUCACCGCGGCCAUCCAAAGAGAGUACCACAAUCACCACAACAUAUCUCAAGGAUAGUCAAAGACAAGUACCAAGAGACUCUCAAUCUUCAAUCAAUUCACAAAAUAGGAAAUCACUCAUGAAAAUAUUCUUCUAAUCCAUGUCCAAUAGACCGCUAUCACCAUGCUAUCAAGGAUUAUACUAGAUAAGAUCAAGUAAGUACAUAAAUCUACUACAUAGAAGAAGGGGAAACAUCAUGGGAUCAGCCUAGAUUAACAUAGCCUAUGAUCACAAUCAAGAUCACAUCAUGGGAGAGAGAGAUGACCACCUAGCUACGGUUGAAAUCCUCAGCCCUGAGGAGGAACUACUCCCGCUUCAUGGAGGGAGGAAGCAAUGUCGAUGGAGAUGAAUCCGGGGGCAUUUCCCCGUCCCGGCAGGGUGCCGCCAUAGGAAUUAUAACCCCCGAAACUUGUCGGCGANNNNNNNNNNNNNNNNNNNNNNNNNNNNNNNNNNNNNNNNNNNNNNNNNNNNNNNNNNNNNNNNNNNNNNNNNNNNACGGAGGUCAGAAUUGCUUCUGGAGAAAAGGGUCUUGAAUCAACAUUUUCUCCACGGGGGUUAAAAUAAGAGCCAAGGUAGGGCACAGAGGAUGUGGGACCCACCCAGGCAGCCUGCUGGCGCGGCUAGUGUUGGGGAACGUUGCAUGGGAAAGAAAAAAUUUCCUACGCACACGAAGACCUAUCAUGGUGAUGUCAAUCUACGAGAGGAGAUUAGUUCUAUGUACCCUUGUAGAUCGCUAAGAGGGAAGCAUUAAGAAAUGCGGUUGAUGUAGUGGUAUAGCUUCGUGAUUCAAAUCACCGUCGUCCCACGAUCCGUUCCGACCUAGCUUCGAACGGACGGCACCUCCGCAUUCAGAACACGUACAACUCGAUGACGAUCUCGGCCUUCUUGAUCCAGCAAGAGAGACGGAUAAGUAGAUGAGUUUUCUGGCAGUGUGACGGCGCUCCGGUGGUGGUGAUGAUCUACUCCUGCAGGGCUCCGAUCUAGAGGUAAAACUAUGUUGUAUAGGUUUGAGUUGCACAUGGCAAAGUUGUGUCUCAAAAACUCUAAAACCACCAGCAUAUAUAGGAGGAGGGGAGGGGCUAGCCUUGGGGCUUAGGGACCCCAAGGUUGCGCCGGCCGAAGUGGAGAGGAGGACUCCUACUCCAAUUUGGUUUGGGAAGGAGGAGUCCUCCUCUCCNNNNNNNNNNNNNNNNNNNNNNNNNNNNNNNNNNNNNNNNNNNNNNNNNNNNNNNNNNNNNNNNNNNNNNNNNNNNNNNNNNNNNNNNNNNNNNNNNNNNUAGGGGGGAGAGAGGGGGUGCAGGGUGGGCCACCCGAACUCUUUGCUGUCUGCCUGAAUGAGAUUUGCCGUCAGCCAGCUGACGGCAAAGAGCUGGCUGAUGGCAAAUAGUACCUUUGCCAUCAACCUUCUCUUUGCCGUCUGGUUUCUGGUAGCUGAUGGCAAAGAGUGUCUUUGCCAUCAGCCAGCAGACGGCAAAGAAGCAGCAGACGGAAAAAUCUCUGAUUCCAGUAGUGUAUAGAAAUACCGACGAUCAAAUGUCGGGCAAGUAACAUACCGAAGGACAAAGGGAAUGGUAUACGGGAUUAUAUGAAUCCUUGGCAUAGAGGUUCAACCGAUAAGAUCUUCGUAGAAUAUGUAGGAUCCAAUAUGGACAUCCAGGUACCUCUAUUGGACAUUUACCGGGGAGUGUCUCAGGUCAUGUCUGCAUAGUUCUCGAACCUGUAGGGUCUGCACACUUGAGGUUCGACGUUGUUUUAUGCGUAUUUGAGUUAUAUGGUUGGUUACUGAAUGUUGUUCGGAGUCCCGGAUGAGAUCACGGACGUCACGAGGGUUUNNNNNNNNNNNNNNNNNNNNNNNNNNNNNNNNNNNNNNNNNNNNNNNNNNNNNNNNNNNNNNNNNNNNNNNNNNNNNNNNNNNNNNNNNNNNNNNNNNNNCGCCACAUGGUAAAGGGGGGAUGGUUGACGGCAAAGAGAGGAGUCCUUCCGUUAACACUUAACGGGGCCAUUGGAGUAUGUGUUGUCACAUUUAAUUUGCCGUCUGGCCCCUCAUGGCAAAGAUUCUUUGCCGUCUGGUUUGAAAAAGCAAACGGCAAAGAACGUCUUCACCGGAUUUUUUUUGCCGUCCGCUCACCGACGGCAAAGCCUUUGCCGUCAGUGGUUGCCCCCUUUGCCGUCUACCAUGGCAGACGACAAAUUUCUAAAUUUCAGUACUGCCACACCUAGUAGGAACACUAAACUUGUCUAUGAUCUGACAUAGCAGGGAUCUGAUCAAUGUAUCCAAUGGUAUUAUUGUUCAGAUUUCUCCGAAACUUGAAAAACUAGGACAAUAUGUUUGAUGCCUUUGGAGAUAUGGAUAGAUAUUCUUGAGUCACAACCAAUUGUGUUUUGUGGAUCCAAUGGCAUUAUGCAAUGUUGAGUCCCAAUAUCGCAUUUCCAUCGUCUCUUGGCCUAAAUAGAUCUUUCUCUACAUCUAGAGAAUUAACUACCAUGAAAGCUAUGGAUGGAUAAUAUUUGUCCACAAUGAAUUUGUCCAAUAUAUUUUGGAUAUAGAAAACGUAGUAUAACAUAAUGUAUGAAUGAAGGUGCUCAAGUUGUAAUAACCAGCGGUAUUUAGAUUUACCCAAAUCCUUCAUUUUAAACUCUGACAUUUAGAUGAUUAAAUGUGUCAUCAUUGUAGACACACAAACAUGGAUAAUCGUCAUUGUAGGAGUAAUCAUUAUGCAUAAGGAACUCACUACGUCGGUUGUACCAUAUGUACCGACAACAAUAAGUCGUAUGGUGACUUACUGAUUUUUACAUAAUGUAUGUUGCAUUUUGCAUUUAGAUUGAGAAGUGAGAUUCCAUCGGGAAUCAAUCAUAUAUGUCUGAAUCUAGUGAUCCACAUUUAUAUGUGAUCACUACAUCUAUCAACUGAAGAGAUAGAUGAUUUUGUACUGCCAAUGAUAUAAGUUAUCAGAAAGAGAUUCCACAUCUAGAGAAUAGUUGGGUAUCUGCGUGAACCCUUGUGCUACAAUACUUGCUCUUUGUUUCACCACCAGAUUAUUCUCAACUCGACUUCCAGAAGAAAACAGGUGUAGGUAUUGCUUAUGAAUACCUUUCCAUUACUGAGCAAGAUCAUUUCUACCUAGAUUAUACCCUUUGCUUGAGUUCAGUCCGAGUGUUGUUCACACUUUGCAAUGGCCAUGGUCUUUGGACCUCUAUCAUAUGGAAGGUUUUGCAAUCUAGUUGAGAAAUGUAUGUCGACAAUUGUAGACUUCCGAUUACAUAAUUCUUUAGAAUCUAUAUAUCAAUAUAUAUUUGAUGGAAAUUGUUGGGAAUAUUCCCUAGAGGUGAUCACAAAUUAGUUAUUAUUAUAUUUCCUCAUUCAUGAUAAUCGUUUAUUAUCCAUGCUAGAAUUGUAUUGAUUGGAAACUCAAAUACAUUUGUGGAUACAUAGACAAUACUCUGUCCCUAGUGAGCCUCUAGUUGACUAGCUCGUGGAUCAAAGAUAGUGAAGGUUUCCCGGCCAUAGACAAGUGUUGUCACUUGAUAAUGAGAUCACAUCAUUAGGAUAAUGAUGUGAUGGACAAGACCCUGACCAUAAACGUAGCAUAUGAUCAUUUCAGUUUAUUGCUACUGCUUUCUGCAUGUCAAUGUAUCCGUUCCUAUGACCAUGAGAUCAUGCAACUCCCAGAGACCGGAGGAAUACCUUGUGUGUAUCAAACGUCGCAACAUAACCGGGUGAAGGUUAAAUAGAAAUGAAGAUUGAUAUAUAGGAAGUUGGUAUUUGGAUUCCAGAAGGAUUUCGGGCAUUGCCGGUAGUGUACCAGGAGUGACGAAUGGGUACCGGGGUCCACCAGGUGGGCCCACCACUCCCCAAGAGGGCCACGUGGACUUGAUGGUGGCGCAAUAGCUCUUAGUGGGCUGUCUAGUCAACCAUAGUAAGCCCAUGUGGAAAAAGGUGGAAAAUCAAAAAGAGGUGGACAAUUUGCGAAGGAGUCCUAAUCCAAGUAGGAUUGAAUGAGGACUCCUCCUUCCUUUGGUUCGGCCGACGCCAAGGGGUUUCCCUUGGUGGGCAAGAACGCCUCCUCCCUCCUCCUAUAUAUACUAGUGGUUUGAGGGUUUUUGACACAUAAUUUCUGCCACGUGCUAGCCUCUCCUCUAGUUUGUAGUUCUUCCUCUAGAUCGGAUUUCUGCGGUGCUUAGGCGAAGCCUUGCAGGAAUAGAUCACCACCAUCACCGGUGCGCCGUUCCGCUACUGGAGAACGCAUCUACUUCCUCUUCUCUCUUGCUGGAUCGAGAAGGCGGGGUAAUCAUUGAGUUGUACGUGUGCUGAAUGCGGAGGUGUCGUCCGUUCGGCACUAUAUCGAGAUGGNNNNNNNNNNNNNNNNNNNNNNNNNNNNNNNNNNNNNNNNNNNNNNNNNNNNNNNNNNNNNNNNNNNNNNNNNNNNNNNNNNNNNNNNNNNNNNNNNNNNGAGAUACCUCUCCGUCACACGGAGUGACAAAUCCCAGUCUUGAUCCAUACUAACUCAACUAACACCUUCAGAGAUACCUGUAGAGCAUCUUUAUAGUCACCUAGUUAUGUUGCGACGUUUGAUACACAAAAAGCAUUCCUCCGGUGUCAGUGAGUUAUAUGAUCUCAUGGUCAUAGGAAUAAAUACUUGACACGCAGAAAACAGUAGCAACAAAAUGACACGAUCAACAUGCUACGUCUACUAGUUUGAGUCUAGUCCAUCACUUGAUUCUCCUAAUGACGUGAUCCAGUUAUCAAGAAACAACACUUUGUUCAUAAUCAGAAGACACUGACUAUCUUUGAUCAACUGGCUAGCCAACUAGAGGCUUGCUAGGGACGGUGUUUUGUCUAUGUAUCCACACACGUAAAUGAGUCUUCAUUUAAUACAAUUAUAGCAUGGAUAAUAAACGAUUAUCUUGAUACAGGAAUUAUAAUAAUAACUAUAUUUAUUAUUGCCUCUAGGGCAUAAUUCGAACAGUCUCCCACUUGCACUAGAGUCAAUAAUCUAGCCCACACAUCAUCAUGUGAAUUACAUUGUAAUAAAUCUAACACCCAUACAGUUCUGGUGUUGAUCAUGCUUUGGCCGUGGAAGAGGUUUAGUCAGCGGGUCUGCUACAUUCAGAUCCGUGUGCACUUUGCAUAUAUUUACGUCCUCUCCCUCGACGUAGUCCCGGAUGAGGUUGAAGCGUCGUUUGAUGUGUCUGGUCUUCUUGUGAAACCGUGGUUCCUUUGCUAAGGCAAUGGCACCCGUGUUGNNNNNNNNNNNNNNNNNNNNNNNNNNNNNNNNNNNNNNNNNNNNNNNNNNNNNNNNNNNNNNNNNNNNNNNNNNNNNNNNNNNNNNNNNNNNNNNNNNNNGCCUUUUUGUCUUUAGCUUUCUGCAAAAUGGUCCCCAGCGGUAGUACCACUGGUCUGCGAGCGGUAGUACCGCUGGAGCCAGCGGUAGUACCGCUAGCUGGCGGUAGUACCGCCCCUGGUCAGCGGUAGUACCGCUCCAGGUGCUUUGUUCCACCUACCCAGCGGUAGUUCAUGGACGGACCCUUUUGCGAAGACUUUCUCGGUGGUAGUAGCGUUUGUGCACUACCAAGGGGCUAGCGGUAGUACCGCUGGUGUCAGCGGUAGUACCGCUGGAGGCCCAGUAGUAGUACCGCUGCAGCCAGCGGUAGUAACGCCAGGCGGCGGUAGUACCGCUCCUGUUCAGCGGUAGUACCGCUGGAGCUCGGGCAGAGAGUGGGAAAACGGUCUGAUUUCCCCCCACUAUAUAAAGGGUUCUUCUAGCUGAGGAACCCUAUCUCUUACCUCUCUAAGCUCCAUUGUUGCUCCACAAGCUCAAAAGUGCCCGAUCUCUCUCCCUAGCCAAUCAAACUUGUUGAUUCUUUAGGGAUUGGUUGAGAAGGCCUAGAUCCACACCUCCACCAAGAGAAAAGUUGAUUCCCCCACCAAUCCCUUGCGGAUCUUGUUACUCUUGGGUGUUUGAGCAUCCUAGACGGUUGAGGUCACCUCGAAGCCAAAUUCCAUUGUGGUGAAGCUUCAUGGUUUAGUUGGGAGCCUCCAAGCUUUGUGUGGAGUUGCCCCAACCUUGUUUGUAAAGGUUCGAUCGCCGCCUUCAAGGGCACCUAUAGUGGAAUCACGGUACCUUGCAUCGUGCGAGGGCGUGAGGAGAAUACGGUGGCCUUAGUGGAUUUUUGGGGAGCAUGGUGCCUCCACACCGCUCCAACGGAGACGUACUUCCUGUCAAAGGGAAGGAACUUCGGUAACACAUCCUCGUCUCCAUCAGUUCCACUUGUGGUUAUCUCUAUCCUUUACUUUGUAUUUGCUUAUGCUUGUGACUAUAUCUUAGUAGUCUUAAUAGAUCUCGUUGUUAGCUUCUAUAGGGUUCACCUCAUUGUCAUAUUAUUUGUGAACCCGCAUAGUGUUUACCUUAACUUGCUAAGAUUAAUUAAAAAGUGGUUGUUGUCUAUUCACCCCCCCUCUAGCCAACCAUAUCGAUCCUUUCAAUUGGUAUCAGAGCCACGUCUCGUUAUUAAGGGUUUAACCACCCGAAGAGUAUGGAAGGCGGAGAGGAAGUUACCCAUGGGCAACCCGAGGACAUGGACUUGACUUCGGUCACAAGGGACGACUUGAAUACGGCUAUGGAAGCCCUCAAGACGUCCUUGACGAGCGAAGUCAAAACCAUGCUUAAAGAAUUAAUUGAGGGUCUUAAAAGUUCACCCGAACCGGCUUUAGUGGUUAAACCCACCAUUUCCGAUUCGGAGGCCAACUCCUCUAAGGAAGUGGCUAAAGGUAUGCGACCGGCUUCACCUCACGAAAAGGAUGGGACUGGAACAUAUGCCUCAGUUCCACCUCCCAUGGCCUAUGGAGGACCCGUUCUCGCACCUCGUCUUAAUCCUGUUGGUCCUCCUCCUAAACUUGUGAAAGGUGACUUUGCUAACUGGGUAUUUUCUAUUAAGUCUCACUUGAAUCACAGCUCAACAAACUUGUGGAGAAUUAUCAAGCAAGGAUAUUAUCCCCAUGACCCAAGCAACCUCACUCCAAGAGAAGAUGCAGACAAUCAAUAUAAUCACUCUGCGUUGUUUAUUCUCCAGUCUGCUGUGCCACCUGAAGAUCUUCCCCACUUACGUCCCUUCACAUUGGCCAAGGAUUGUUGGGAGCAUAUUAUGGUGCUAUACAAGGGAAGCUCAAGUAUUCAACGAUCCAACUGUGAAGUGAUACUUGAUAAGGCCGAUGAGUUUGUGAUGAAGGAAGACGAGGACCCUCGUGAUCUCUAUCGGAGGGUGACUGCUAUUGCUGUGGCACUAAAGGAUCAUGGUAGUAAGGAUGUGGAUGAUACAUGGGUCAAGCGCAAGUUUCUCAAAGCCAUCAUGCCUUUCAAUAAAGCCAUGUCAUCUGUCAUUCGUCAGCGGCCAGACUUCCACUCCUUGUCUUCCAAUGAAGUGUUGGAUGAGUUCAUUGCAAUGUCAAUCAUGAACGAAACAGCCGACAAUGCACUUGCUCGUGUUCGAUCAAAAACCACGUUACCUAACCUUGCGUUGAAAGCAAGAGCAAUGCUUGAAGAAGAAGAAGAAGACGAGGAAGAAGAGAGCUGCCCUGAAGACACAAAGUAUGCUUAUCAUGAGCACAUGGCUCUUGCAUCAAGGCAAUUCUAGGGAAAUAAAAGGAACUCAAGACCCACCUUCACCAAGAACAACUCGAGUGGAUUCAAACCCAAAGAACGAGUAAGGACAUGUUAUAACUGUGGAAACGUGAGUCACUUCGUGGCAGAAUGUCCCUAUGAGAAAAGGGAAGACAACGGAGGCAAGCUCAUUCGCAAAGACAAAACCAAAUCAUUUCCAAUCAAGAACAACUUUGUGAAGAAACCUCACCCAAAAGGGAUGGUGGCCCUAGAGGAGUAUCCUUCUGAUGAUGAUGGUGAUGAUGGUGAUACGGUGGCAACGGCAACUGUUGCUAUUGCCACUACCUCUUCCCAGAAGGUGUCUCUCUUCAACGCCCCCAACGAGAACCACAUCACCAAGUGCCUCAUGGCAAAAGGUACCAAUCAGGUAACUCCCAUCAUUAAGACCAACAUUGCUUCUGCUCCUUCAUUGUUAAAUUGUGUAGAAGAUAGUGAUGUUGGAGAACUUAAUGAGCAUGAUCUUUAUAAGUUUCUAUGCACUAUUAAGGGAGAACCCAAGAAGCACUUUGUGGCUCUCUUGGAACAACUGGGUGAGGCCACUGACCUCAUUGAGUCUCAUGAGGAGACCAUCUCCGAGCUUCAGGGACAUAGUCGUGACUAUGCCGAUGAAAUUGCCGAAUUAUCUAGUGCUCUUAAAGAAGAGCGUACUCUUCGUUUGGCUCUUGAGGAGUCAUAUAACGAUGACUGCGCUAAAAUGAAAAAGAAACUAGAUCAUGAUGUUGUUCUUACUCGCAUGCUUAAAUAUGAAAAGUAUGCUCUUGAGGUUGGCCGUGACAGACUCAAAGAAGAGUUUGACAUACUUGACAAGGCCCACAAAGCCUUGAAAGGUGUUCAUUUCUCUCUGAAAGAGUCUCAUGAUCAACUCCAAGCAAAGCUUACCAAGGAGAUCUCUACUUGUCCUCCCUUUGUGUUAAUUGAUAAUACUUGUGCAACUAACCCCUGUUGUGAGCAUGUUCAUCUUGUGGAGGAAAAUGCCAAGUUAAAAGAGAAACUUGAGAAGGGCCUUGUGGCAUGCAGACAAGGUGAGAAGAGUCUGAACGAUCUCUUGAUCACUCAAAAGGGUGUUGUAGGAAAGGAAGGACUUGGACUUACCUCCAAGUCAAAAGGUAAAAGGAAGAACAAGAACAAACGAUCUCUCACCCUCAUGGACAUCUUUGUCAAAGAGGGUGAGGGGACUCAGAAGGUGAACAGGAACAAGGUGGACUAUGGGAACCCCAAGAAGGGCAAAACCGCUCCUACUAACACAGCCGGCAAACUCAAUUCUUCUUAUGUUUUAUGUUGUGCUAGUGAUGGGCAUGUUUAUGCCAGAUUUGUUGGUUCCUACGAUGAAGAUAUUGAAUGGGCUAUCUGGGUUCCUAAGACCCUUGUCUCUAACAUGAAAGGACCCGUUAAAAAAUGGGUACCUAAAACCAAGCCUUGAUCUUUUGCAGGAGUUUGCUUCCGGUGGGGUGUCAUGGUUGCUCGAUAGUGGAGCAACAAAUCAUAUGACCGGAAGCAAGGAAUUAGUGGUGGAUGUGCAUCCUUCUCCAUCUAUGCCCACCCAUGUCCAAUUCGCCGAUGCAUCCUCGUCAAAGGUAUUGGGAUUUGGUAAGGUGGUCGUCUCUCAAGAUUUAUCUAUUGAGAAGGUCAUGCUUGUUGAGUCACUUGCCUACAAUUUACUUUCGGUUCGUCAACUUGCAAUCAUGGGUUUUUCCACAUUCUUUAAUAUUGACACUGUGGUCCUCCUAAUGAGCAAGACUCUUAAAGUAGCCUAUGUUGGACAUGUCGAAAAUGGUCUCUAUGUGGUGAACUUCUCAAAGCGACCCACUAAGACUGCGCAUGUUUAAUGGCUAAAGUUGACGUGGGCUGGUUUUGGCAUCGCCGUUUAGCUCAUGUCAAUAUGAGAUCUUUGCAAAGUCUUCUAACAGGGGACCAUGUUCGUGGACUAACAAAUGUGAGCUUUGCUAAAGAUCGUGUUUGCAGUGCUUGCAUUGAAGGAAAGAUUCAUGAAACUUCUCAUCGUCCAACGACUCUUAUCUACACUAAGAGGCCAUUGGAACUUCUCCAUAUGGAUCUGUUUGGUCCUCCAACAUUUGAUAGUCUUGGAGGCAGAAAAUAUUGCUUAGUGAUUGUUGACGACUACUCAAGAUAUACCUGGGUAUAUUUCUUUAAUAGGAAGAGUGAAACUCAACAAACGGUCAUCAACUUUGCUAAUGAAGCGCAACGUCAACAUGAAGCAAAGAUCUUGAUGAUUAGGAGUGACAAUGGCACCGAGUUCAAGAACUACACCCUAGAUGAGUUUCUAGGUGAUGAGGGAAUAAAGCACCAAUAUUCUGCACCAUAUACCCCUCAGCAAAACGGCGUGGCAGAAAGGAAGAACCGGACCUUGAUAGACGCUGCAAGAACAAUGAUGGCAGACUUCAAAUCUCCAUACAACUUCUGGACAGAGGCCAUCAACACAACAUGCCAUGCGUCCAAUCGGCUCUACAUCCGCAAAGGCUUGAACAAGACUCCAUAUGAGAUUCUAACUGGAAAAAAACCCAAUCUCAAGUACUUCCGGGUAUUCGGUUGUAAGUGUUUCAUACUCAAAAAGGGAGCUUGGUUAGCUAAAUUUGAUUCUAGAGCACAUGAGGGUAUCUUUGUUGGUUAUGCUACAAACUCUCAUGCUUACCGUGUCCUCAACAAGUCCACCGGACUAAUUGAGGAGACGUGUAACAUAGAGUUUGACGAAAAUAAUGGCUCCCAAGUGGAGCAAAGUGGUCUUUGUGAUAUAGGUGAUGAAAUUCCUCCCGAAGCCAUAAGAAGAAUGGGGAUUGGUCAAAUACUCCCCAUUGAGGAACCCCUUGUGGCCGAAGGAGAAGGACAAUGCUCUACUCAAGUGGAGCCAUCACCCUCACAAGCCCCACACGCUUCCGAUGAACAAAGAGAAGACUCUCAACAAGUUGAUCAGGCUCACGGUCAAGAUCAAUUGCCUAACAAUGGUGAUGUGCCCUAUGAUAUUCAAGCACUACCCCUAGACCCCGAACCAGCACAAGAUCAAGAUCAAGAGCAACCACUAAUACAAGAUCAAACUAGUGAACCUGCUCAAGUCGAAGGACAAGAUGAUCAGGAGACUGUCUCACAAUUCCCGUCUGGAGCUCCAACAACCGGCUCAAGACGCAAGGGCAAACAAAAGAAACAAGUCGAAGGUCCCCCGUUAUCUAAUGAAGAACUCUUGGAGCCUCGAGCAGCCAAGAAUGCGGACAAGCUGAGAGCCAAGUCACAUCUUAUGAAGAAUGUUCUUGGCAGUUUAAAAAGGGGAGUAUCUACCCGUCAACAGCUUUGGAAUUAUUGUGAGCAUCACGCGUUUGUCUCGUAUUGUGAACCUCAAUAGGUACAGGAAGCGCUCGAUGAAGAGGAUUGGCUUAUGGCCAUGCACGAAGAACUUAACAACUUCGAGCGCAACCAAGUCUGGGAUUUAGUGCCUCGGCCAACGAAGGAACAUAAUGUCAUCGGGACCAAAUGGAUAUUCAAGAACAAGCAAGAUGCAAAUGGAAUUGUGAUUCGAAACAAGGCAAGAUUGGUGGCUCAAGGCUACUCCCAAGUCGAGGGUAUCGACUACGGUGAAACCUUUGCCCCUGUUGCUCGUCUAGAAUCUAUUCGCAUGUUACUUGCAUUUGCUUCUCAUCAGAACUUCAAAUUAGAGCAAAUGGAUGUGAAAAGUGCAUUUCUUAAUGGUCCUUUGAAUGAGUUGGUCUAUGUCAAACAACCCCCGGGAUUCGAACAUCCCAAGCUCCCCAAUCAUGUGUACAAACUCAAUAAGGCACUCUAUGGCCUUAAACAAGCUCCACGCGCAUGGUAUGAGUAUCUUACCGAGUUGUUACAAGAUCGUGGGUUUGAAAUUGGGAAGAUUGAUCCCACUCUUUUUACUAAGAGGGUUAAAGGGGAUUUGUUCAUAUGCCAACUAUAUGUUGAUGAUAUUAUCUUUGGCUCUCCUAACAUUUCUUUCAAUGAAGAAUUUGCUGCACUAAUGACUGAGAAGUUUGAGAUGUCCAUGAUGGGAGAGUUGAAGUUCUUCCUCGGGUUCGAGAUUAAACAAGGUCUAGAAGGGACAUUCAUCAAACAAGCCAAGUACACUCAAGACAUGCUCAAACGGUUCGAGCUCGAAGAUGUCAAACCGGUCAAGUUCCCCAUGCCAACCAGAUGCAAGCUUGACAGUGAUCCCAAUGGUAAAGCAGUGGAUCAAAAGGUAUACCGCUCCAUGAUUGGAUCCCUCCUUUACCUCUGUGCAUCUAGACCGGAUAUUAUGUUGAGUGUAGGGAUAUGUGCACGGUUUCAAUCCGCACCAAAAGAAAGUCACUACAUGGCUGUCAAACGAAUCUUUCGAUACUUGGCUCAUACCCCAAACUUUGGCCUCUGGUAUCCCAAAGGAGCAAACUUCAAUCUAGUUGGCUAUUCUUACUCAGAUUGGGCUGGAGAUUGUGUGGAGAGGAAGUCAACGUCUGGAGGAUGCCAAUUCCUUGGUCGCUCUUUGGUAAGUUGGUCUUCAAAGAAGCAGAACUGCGUCUCCUUAUCAUCCACCGAAGCUGAGUAUGUGGCAGCUGCAAGUUGUUGUGCACAAUUGCUAUGGAUGAGGCAAACUUUAAAGGAUUAUGGUGUCACUUGUGACAAAGUGCCUCUUCUAUGUGACAAUCAAAGCGCCAUCAAGAUUUCCCUCAACCCAGUGCAACAUAGCAAAACCAAACAUAUUGAUAUUCGUCAUCACUUCAUUCAUGAACAUAUCAAGCUAGGUGAUAUUGAGGUUCACUUCAUCCACACUGAAGAGCAACUUGCAGAUUUUUCACUAAGCCUCUAGAUGAAGCAAGGUUCCAGGAGUUAAGGCAUGAGCUAAAUAUCAUUGAUUCAAGUAAUGUGGAUUGAAACUAGGCAUAUUGCACCUCUCUCUUUGCAUUCCAUCUUGGUUUAGAUGUAGGCAUGGACAUAGGGGGAGUGUUGUUCUCACAAUGAACUUUCCCUCCCCCCAUUAUGCGUAAAUCAAUCUAGUCUUUCACUUUAGCCAUUGUCAAAUGGCACUUGUGCUUCUAAGACGAGCAUUGGUCAUGAACCCAAGGAUAAUUCUUCGCAGUGUCAUACCAUUGUCUCAAACAUAGGUGGCCUCGGCCACCGCCCCUUCAUCCUUUCUUGCGUAUAGAAGAAAGGAUAUACAAUGACAAGUCAGUACAUUUUAUUGGAUGCCAUCUCUUUUUACUCACUUGUCAUGUGCCCAAGUUCAUCCUUUUUUCCUUAGCCGUGUCGCAAAAUUUACAGCGGUACUACCGCCAGGGCAGCGGUACUAUCGCCAGGACCCUAGCGGUACUACCGCCAGGGGUAGCGGUACUACCGCCAGGACCCCAGCGGUACUACCGCCAGGACCCCAUCGGUACUACCGCCAGGUAUUCAAAAUCUAACACGACCGGCUAGAAAACUUCUAGGGUUUCAAGGGGGAGUGGUACAACCGCCAGGGGGAGCGGUACAACCGCCAGGACCCCAGCGGUACUACCGCCAGGUCAGCGGUAGUACCGCUGCACCCCAGCGGUACUACCGCUGGCCCGUACCCCUUGGGCUAUAUAAAGGGAGGGGGAGCCCGAUUUUAUCAUCUGUUUCUUCUUCCUCGCGGCUCCUCCCUCCCCUAGCCCGAAAACUCCCUGAUUGGAUCUCACUUCGUGGAGCUCCUUCUCCCCGUUGGUUUGGAAGGGUUGCUUCAUCUCUUCUUCCUCCUCCAAGAGCCAUGAACCCCGGUAAAGCUCCUCCCUUCUUCUAUUUGGUUGUUGUUUGUGUUCUAGGGUUAGGAGCAUUGCGGAUUGGAUCCAUAUUUUUAAUCUUAUAGCUAGUUCUUGGAUGGCAUGAAGAAGAUAUUUGAGGGGAGUAUAGGUCCGAUGGUUUGUUGUUGAGUUUGUUGCCAUGCCCUAGGAUUUACUCGUUUUAAGAUCUAGCACUUGAACUUUUGGAUUAGAUCUAAAACGUGCUCUCUCUUGCCUAGGCAUGUACUUAUUUCGUGUUACUAAGUGUUCCUCAUGACAGUAGGGCUGGGGUGUACGUCUUAGUGUAGCGGUACUACCGCUAGGACCCCAGCGGUACUACCGCCAGGGGUAGCGGUACUACCGCUAUGACCCCCAGCGGUACUACCGCCAGGGGCAGCGGUACUACCGCUAGGCCCCAGCGGUACUACCGCCAGGAGCAUUCACUGUGUAUUUUCUGUGUUUUUGCUUAGCAAUGAGUGUUUACUUGUUUUGCGUUUUCAAGAUUCAUUGCCUUGACUCUUCUUGUCGCCUCCUUUUUUUUGCUAUGUGUUUUGUGUCACAGGUGACUCUUCUCGCCGUUCGAACCCCCCACGGGACAUGCAGUCCAAACAGUAUCGCAACCCAGAGGCGCCCGAGGGGUCUGCCACCUCAGGUCUGCCACCAAAGAAGAAGUCCUUCAAGAAGGUCGCUCACAAGGAUAAGAAGGUCAAUGUCCGCUCAAUGUCCCCCAAGGACUUUCUGCAGUUCCGCACCAAGAACCACUAUCUCAACGAGAGGGAUGUGAUCAAGGAUGUUGACCAUGUCUGGGCAAGGGACCAGUGCAGGAUCUACCGGGAUGUUGUAGCUCAGUUCAAGAAGAACUAUGUCUCUGUGCAGUGGAUUGACCUGGCACAUCUUCAGAGGAACAUGGACUAUUUUGGUGAUGCCCUCUCUCUGGUUGACAAAUUGGGCAUCAAGGACAUCAUCGCCUUCAAGACGGGUUUUGAUCCCACUGCAGUUGCUCAGUUUUAUGUCACAGUCCAUUUCUCUCCUGAUGCAGAGCGUUCCAUGGUGUGGAUGACUGGGUCAAAGAAGCUGACCGGUACCUGGCAGGAGUUCAUGCAAUUCCUUCACAUUGACUUCCAGGGUGCUGACACUCCUCUUGGGCUGCGUCCUCAUGCUGCAGCCCCCGCCGAUAGGGCUCCCGCAAAGGACAGACUGCAGAAACUGUAUCUGAGGAAGGGGGUGCUUCCCAAGCACCUGGACAUCAUGCAUCGGAUCUUUCGCAACACCCUCUUCCCUCGCAGUGGUAACUUCGAUGAGGUCCAUGGCUCCUUGGCUGAGAUGCUGCUGCUUUGUGAGGAGGCUAUGUCUCAGGAGUCUGCUCAGCUGGAUAUUUCUGAUGUGAUGUUCAUGGAGCUCUGGAACUGCAUCAUCAUGUGUAAGGUUCCCAUCUACGGGCCUUACGUGUUUGCAUACAUUCGCCAUAAGUGGCAAGAGGCUUUUCCGGAGGAGCUGCUCUACGCUCAGUAUGAUUACAUUGUGCACGACCCGAUCAGGCUUCGCGUCAAGGACAAGUGGGCCAACCCAUCUACUUCCUCUCAGCACAUGGAUACUGAUACAGAGACUGCUGCUGACAGAGGAAUCGCCUCUCAGUCCUGCUCGUCUGCCAUGCCAUCUUGGGCUAUCAAACUGCAGGACAAGAUGAAGACACUUUUCUGUAUGCAGGCCAAGGGUCAGUACCAGACACACGUGGCUCAGAAGCAGAGCCGCCAGAGGCAUAAGCGUGUUCUCAGAACCUUGGAUGUGGACAUCUCCAGCGGCUCAGAGGACGACAUCACUCCUGAGGCUACUUGGAUGCAGGCUCAAGGGUACCAGUGGUCUGGCGAUGAGGCGGAAGAGGAGGAGCAGACCGACCAGGAGGGGACAUACGAGUCUGGUGAUGCUGAAGACGAGGAGUAGUUACCUGUGGCAUUAGGUGUGCCCCUUUUUGGUGUCUUGUGCCAAAGGGGGAGAGAGUCUAGGAUUUGCUUUCAUAUUCGAACUUUGCAUUGCUUUGCUUUAUUUCGUAUGGUUUGCUUCGAACUUGGUUUGAUUCUAGUUGCUAUCUUUUGAGAGACAUGAUCUUAUGUGAGAUUUAUUUCCAUCAUAUGCUGUGAGUCAUAUGCCCCGUAUUGUCAUAUAUCUCUAUCUUUUUUUGUUCUCAUAUUAUUGUCUGUGCAAAUCCGGUAUUGUCAUCAAUCCACCAAAAAGGGGGAGAUUAUUGGGGCAUAGUUUAUACCUAAGUAAUUUUGGUGAUUGAUGACAGUACCGUACAUGACUAACCGUGUGUGUCAAGGUUUCAGAUAACACACGUCAACGGCACAAGACGACACGUCCCCUCUCUCAUGGAACGGAAGCACGGCGCUCUCUACGAUUCUCUUUAUUUGAGUCAUAGGAAAGCCGUACUAUUAAGAGGGGAUCCGUAGUGGAAAGGUUUGGGUGGAAUCUAUCUUUACACAAGCACACUUCACAUUCUCCCUUUCCUUUAUCUUUGGAGCGGCCCUCGCCUUUUUGUCUUUAGCUUUCUGCAAAAUGGUCCCCAGCGGUAGUACCGCUGGUUCCAGCGGUAGUACCGCUGGUCUGCUAACGGUAGUACCGCUAGCUGGCGGUAGUACCGCCCCUGGUCAGCGGUAGUACCGCUCCAGGUGCUUUGUUCCACCUACCUAGCGGUAGUUCAUGGACGGACCCUUUUGCGAAGACAUUCUCGGCGAUAGUAGCGUUUGUGCACUACCAAGGGGCCAGCGGUAGUACCGCUGGUGUCAGCGGUAGUACCGCUGGAGGCCCAGCGGUAGUACCGCCAGGCGGCGGUAGUACCGCUCCUGUUCAGCGGUAGUACCGCUGGANNNNNNNNNNNNNNNNNNNNNNNNNNNNNNNNNNNNNNNNNNNNNNNNNNNNNNNNNNNNNNNNNNNNNNNNNNNNNNNNNNNNNNNNNNNNNNNNNNNNGAUGAAAGAGGUCGUUAGAAAAGAAAUAUUAAAGCUUCUGGAAGCAGGAAUCAUUUAUCAUGUUGCUCAUAGUGAUUGGGUAAGUCCAGUACAUUGCGUACCUAAGAAGGGAGGUAUCACCGUCAUUCCUAAUGAUAAGGAUGAACUAAUCCCACAAAGGAUUAUUACCGGCUAUAGGAUGGUGACAGACUUACGGAAACUGAACAAGGCAACGAGGAAAGAUCAUUAUCCUUUGUCGUUUAUCGACCAAAUGCUAGAAAGGCUAUCAAAACACACACACUUCUGCUUUCUAGACGGUUAUUCAGGUUUCUCGCAAAUACCUGCCGCACAAUCUGAUAAGGAGAAAACCACUUUCACCUGUCCCUUCAGUACCUUUGCUUAUAGACGUAUGCCUUUUAGCUUAUGCAAUGCACCUGCCACUUUUCAAAGAUGUAUGAUGGCUAUAUUCUAUGACUUUUGUGAAAAGAUUGUCGAGGUUUUCGUGGAUGACUUCUCCGUUUACGGGUCUUCCUUUGAUGAUUGCCUCAGCAACCUUGAUCGAGUCUUACAGAGAUGCGAAGAAACCAACCUCGUCUUGAAUUGGGAGAACUGCCACUUUAUGGUCAAUGAAGGUAUCGUCUUAGGACACAAAAUCUCUGAAAGAGGCAUUGAAGUUGAUAAGGCUAAGGUUGAUGCAAUUGAGAAAAUGCCUUGCACCACAGAUAUCAGAGGUAUACGAAGUUUCCUAGGUCNNNNNNNNNNNNNNNNNNNNNNNNNNNNNNNNNNNNNNNNNNNNNNNNNNNNNNNNNNNNNNNNNNNNNNNNNNNNNNNNNNNNNNNNNNNNNNNNNNNNUUGGUUUGGGAAGGAGGAGUCCUCCUCUCCCUUUCCACCUCCCUUGGGCUGGCUCCACCAGCCCACUAAGGGAUGGUGCACCACCCUAGGGUUACUGGGCUAACUCCCGGGUGGGUCGGCCCCUCCCAAUUGAAUACCCAGAACCCAUUCGUCACUCCCGGUACACUCCCGGAAAUGCCCGAAACUUUUCCGUUGACCAAAUGAAACCAUCCUAUAUAUCAAUCUUCGUUUACGGACUAUUCCGUAAAGCCUCUUGACGUUCGUUAUCUCAUCCGGGACUCCGAACAACAUUCGGUAACCACACAUAUAAGUCAACUAUAAUAAAACAUCAUCAAACCUUAAGUGUGCAGUCCCUGCGGGUUAGAGAACUAUGUAGACAUGACCCGAGACACUCCUCAGUCCAUAUUGGAUCCUACAUAUUCCCUGAAGAUCUUAUCGGUUCAACCUAAGUGCCAAGGAUUCAUAUAAUCCCUUAUGUCAUUCCAUUUGUCCUUCGGUAUGUUACUUGCCCGAGAUUUGAUCGUCGGUAUCCGCAUACCUAUUUCAAUCUCGUUACCGGCAAGUCUCUUUACUCGUUCGGUAAUACAAGAUCCCGUGACUUACAAUUAGUCACAUUGCUUGCAAGGCUUGUGUGUGAUGUUGUAUUACUGAGUGGGCCCCGAGAUACCUCUCCGUCAUACGGAGUGACAAAUCCCAGUCUUGAUCCAUACUAACUCAACGGACACCUUCGGAGAUACCUGUAUAGCACCGUUAUAGUCACCCAGUUACGUUGCGAUGUUUGAUCACACAAGGUAUUCCUCCGGUGCGAGUGAGUUAUAUGAUCUCAUGGUCAUAGGAAUAAAUAAUUGAAACACAGAAAACAAUAGCAACAAAAUGACAUGAUCACAUGCUACGUUCAUAGUUUGUGUCUAGUCCAUCACAUAAUUCUCCCAAUGAUGUUAUCUAGUAAUCAAGUGACAACACUAGCAUAUAGUAAGAGAACCUUGACUAUCCUUGAUCAACUAGACAGUCAACUAGAGGCUUGCUAGGGAUAUUGUUUUGUCUAUGUAUCCACACAUGUAUCUAUGUUUUCAUUCAAUACAAUUAUAGCAUGGAUGAUAAAUGAUUAUAUUGAAACAGGAAAUAUAAUAAUAACUAUUUUAUCAUUGCCUCUAGGGCAUAUUUCCAACAGCCAGGGGGUUGGCCGCGCCAGGAGGUCGCCUGGGCGGCCCCUGGCCCCACUCUCGCCCAUCUUCGGUGAACUGGANNNNNNNNNNNNNNNNNNNNNNNNNNNNNNNNNNNNNNNNNNNNNNNNNNNNNNNNNNNNNNNNNNNNNNNNNNNNNNNNNNNNNNNNNNNNNNNNNNNNGGUGUGCUUUGUCGGACAAAUUUCCCGGGGUUUGUCACGUUGCCUGGUGAGGGUCAGGUUCCUACACAAGGAUUUACCUGGGAGCACUACCAGGCUGCGCAGGCCCCGCCGGAGGAGAUUAUAGAUGGUGUCUUGUGCCACACGAGGGCCGAGAUGGUGAUCAACAGCUUUUGGGUAAAUUAUCCUUUUACAGAAUCUAAAAUUAACAAUAUACCUAAUUAUUGUACUAAUCGGUGUUUUCACGUUUGAUUGCAGACCUUCUAUAGGUGUGAGGAUGGAUAUGAGGAGGCGGAAGCCAGGGUUCUCGAGGUCGAGUGUAAGCGGUUACUACAGAACUUGCGCCACGAGGCUCGGCCGCAGCCUAUUCGAGAUUACUACGCCACGCGUGGUAUUAAGAAGGAGAAGAAGGAUUGCCGCGGAAAGUUUCUGAAGAAGGAGCAAUACAUGAAGGUAAUUACCUAUUCUUAAGUCCUUCUACGUAGUUUUCUUGAUUUCAUUCAUAGGCGUAGCGUUGAAAAUUCUUUCUAAUAACUUACAGGUGCCCCCGAGAUGGUGUGCGGAUAAGAUGGAUUGUUGGGNNNNNNNNNNNNNNNNNNNNNNNNNNNNNNNNNNNNNNNNNNNNNNNNNNNNNNNNNNNNNNNNNNNNNNNNNNNNNNNNNNNNNNNNNNNNNNNNNNNNGGCACCACACUGAGUGGAGUUCCCGCUCUCAUCACGGCGUUCACCCCGAAGCCGCGGUCGUGUGACGCAAGCCACCAACGUGGCACGGGAGCAUCUGCUACGCAUUUAGCGGUUUGUUGAGGUAAGCUUUCCAUCCCCCCAUGCUUUCGUUGAGAGUUUUUCUUCUUCCUGCUUUGCUUCAGUGGGGUUGCGCCAGCGCACCCACUUGGUGUAGCCCCUGAGAGUCAGGUCGGCUAAACGUUAGCCGGCUCAAGUCUCACUCGUGGCUAGCUGUUUUUUCCUUUUUGUUUCAGUGGGUUCACCCAACCACACCCAUUGGGUGUAGCCCCCGAGAGUCGGUCCGGCUGGAAAUCCGCCGGGUCGAGUCUUACUCGCAGCUAGACUUUUGCCUUUUUUGCAUUGUAGGACCUUCAAGAGCUUCGUGCGGAUGCUCACAAUGUGUUGUUGAAUCGACUCCAAGAAGCCGAGGGUCAACUGCCCAGAGCGAGAUGCCUUGCGCGAUGAACGCACCUGGCUGUGCCAGGAGAUAGAGAUUCUCCAGUCGGAGAAGAAGGACCGUGAGGCGGCUCANNNNNNNNNNNNNNNNNNNNNNNNNNNNNNNNNNNNNNNNNNNNNNNNNNNNNNNNNNNNNNNNNNNNNNNNNNNNNNNNNNNNNNNNNNNNNNNNNNNNUCUGCCGGGGUGUCGUGAGGAUGUCGUGUCGGGGUUUCGGGCAUCGUGUCGGGGUGUCGAGGUGUCAGGGUGUCAUUUUCUUCUUCUUCAUCUUCUUUUUUUCCUCCUCUUCCUUUUCUUCUUCUUCUUCUUCCUUCCUUCCUUUUCUUCUUCUUCUUCUUCUUCUUCUUCUUGUUGUUCUUCCUUCUUUUCCAUUUCCCUCUUCUUCUUGUUCUUCUUUUUCUUCUUCCUUCUUUUCCUUUUUCGUCUUCUUUAUUCUUCUCAUCUCUCCUCUUUUUCUUCUUCUUCUUCUUCUUCUUUUUAUCCUCCUCCUCCUCCUCCUCCUCCUACUCUUCUUCUUAUUCUUCUUCCCUUAUCUACUUAUUCUUCUUUUAUUCUUCAUCCUUUUUCUACUUAUUUCAAUUAUGACUAUGUAGAAUCUAAACCUAUCCCUAAACCUAUCGCUAAACCUAUAUAGCACUAAACAAGAAAAAAAUAACAAAAAACAUAAUCUACCAAUCAUUAACUAAAAAAUAAUCUACCACUAAUUAACAAAAUAUAAUCUACCUCUAAAUUAACAAAUAACAAAUAACCUAGCACUAAUUAACUAAACCUAGGACUAAAUCUACUAUUCAACUAAAACAACUAACUAAACUACCACUAAAUCAAAUAACUAAAUCUAAUUAAAUAAAAAAAACUCACCUAUGGGCGGUGGGNNNNNNNNNNNNNNNNNNNNNNNNNNNNNNNNNNNNNNNNNNNNNNNNNNNNNNNNNNNNNNNNNNNNNNNNNNNNNNNNNNNNNNNNNNNNNNNNNNNNCUAGGUCAUGCUGGUUUCUAUAGAAGGUUGAUUAAAGACUUCUCUAAGAUUUCUAGGCCUCUUACCAACCUCUUGUAGAAGGAUGUUCCUUUUGUUUUUUAUGAGGAUUGUGAGGAAGCCUUUGAAAUACUUAAGAAGGCUUUGAUAACCGCACCUAUUAUUCAACCACCUAACUGGAACUUGCCCGUUGAAAUCAUGUGUUACGCUAGUGAUUACGCUGUUGGUGAUGUUCUAGGACAGAGAGUUGACAAGAAGUUGAAUGUCAUUCACUAUGCUACUAGAACUCUAGACUGUGCCCAAAGAAACUAUGCCACUACGGAGAAGGAAUUUUUAGCAGUCGUGCUGGCAUGUGAGAAGUUCAGAUCUUACAUCGUUGACUCCAAAGUCACUAUUCACUCUGAUCAUGCUGCUAUUAAGUACCUUAUGGAGAAGAAGGAUCCUAAGCGUAGGCUGCUCAGAUGGGUUCUCCUGCUACAGGAAUUUGAUUUGCACGUCAUUGACCGAAAGGGUGCUGAUAACCCUGUAGCAGAUAACUUGUCUAGGCUAGAGAUUGUCCUUGAUGACCCACUACCUAUUGAUGACAACUUUUUUGAUGAGCAAUUAAAUGUCAUCCGCACUUCACAUAGUGCACCGUGGUAUGCUGAUUAUGCAAACUAUAUCGUAGCCAAAUACAUACCACCCAGUUUCACCUAUUAGCAAAAGAAGAAAUUCUUCUAUGAUUUGAGACACUACUUUCGGGAUGAUCCUCGCCUUUAUAAGGAAGGAGUAGAUGGUGUUAUUAGACGUUGUGUGCCUGAACAUGAACAGGGACAGAUCUUGCAGAAGUGUCAUUCCAAAGCAUAUGGAGGACACCAUGUUGGAGAAAGACCUGUCCGUAAGGUAUUGCAAUUAGCUUUCUAUUGGCCCACUCUCUUCAAGGAUGCUCGUAAGUUUCUCUUGUCUUGUGACGAAUGCCAAAGAAUAGGGAACAUCAGUAAGCGUCAGGAAAUGCCUAUGAACUAUUCACUUGUCAUUGAACCAUUUGAUGUCUGGGGCUUUGAUUAUAUGGGACCCUUCCCGAGUACCAAUGGGUACACUCACAUCUUAGUUGCUGUGGAUUACGUUACUAAGUGGGUAGAAGCUAUCCCCACUAAAAAUGUUGAUCACCACACCUCUAUUAAGAUGCUUAAAGAAGUCAUAUUCCCAAGAUUUGGAGUCCAUAGAUACUUGAUGACUGAUGGCGGCUCACACUUUAUUCAUGGUGUUUUCUGCAAGAUGCUAGCUAAGUAUGAUGUCAACCAUAGAGUUGCAUAUCCUUAUCAUCCUCAGUCUAGUGGUCAACUCGAGUUGAGUAAUAGGGAGAUCAAAUUGAUCCUACGAAAGACCUUCAGUAGAUCUCGAAAGAAUUGGUCUAGCAAACUUGAAGAUGCACUAUGGGCUUAUAUGACUGCCUNNNNNNNNNNNNNNNNNNNNNNNNNNNNNNNNNNNNNNNNNNNNNNNNNNNNNNNNNNNNNNNNNNNNNNNNNNNNNNNNNNNNNNNNNNNNNNNNNNNNNNUGGGAAUGUCACCGUAUAAAAUGGUUUAUGGUAAAGCCUGUGAUCUACCUCUUGAGAUNNNNNNNNNNNNNNNNNNNNNNNNNNNNNNNNNNNNNNNNNNNNNNNNNNNNNNNNNNNNNNNNNNNNNNNNNNNNNNNNNNNNNNNNNNNNNNNNNNNNCAUACCACGGUGCACUACGUGAAGUAUUGAUGACAUUUAGUUGCUCAUCAGGAAAGCUGUCAUCAAUAGGUUGUGGGUCAUCAAAAACAUUCUCCAACCUAGACAAGUUAUCUGCUACAGGGUUAUCAGCACCCUUCCUCUCGACAACGUGCAAAUCAAAUUCUUGUAGCAAGAGAACCCAUCUGAUGAGUCUAAGUUUAGCGUCUUUCUUCUCCAUGAGGUACUUAAUAGCAGCAUGAUCAGUCUGAAUAGUGACUUUGGAAUCAACUAUGUAAGACCUGAACUUUUCACAUGCAAACACGACUGCUAAAAAUUCAUUUUCCGUAGUAGCAUAGUUUCUUUGGGCACUGUCUAGAGUUUUACUANNNNNNNNNNAACAUUCAACUUCUUAUCAACUCUUUGCCCUAGGAUAGCACCAAAAACAUAAUCACUAGCAUCACACAUGAUUUCAAAAGGUAAGUUCCAAUCAGGUGGUUGAACAAUAGGUGCGGUUAUCAAAGCCUUCUUAAGUAUUUCGAAGGCUUCCUCACAAUCAUCGUCAAAAACAAAAGGAAUAUCCUUUUGCAAGAGAUUGGUAAGAGGCCUAGAAAUCUUAGAGAAGUCUUUAAUGAACCUCCUAUAGAAACCAGCAUGACCAAGGAAACUUCUUAUACCUUUGAUAUCUGUGGGGUAUGGCAUUUUCUAGAUCGCAUCGACCUUAGCCUUAUCGACUUCAAUACCUCUUUCAGAAAUAUUAUGUCCUAAGACGAUGCCUUCAUUAACCAUAAAGUGGCACUUCUCCCAAUUCAAGACAAGAUUGGUAUCUUUACAUCUCUGCAAGACUCGAUCAAGGUUGCUGAGGCAAUCAUCAAAAGAAGACCCGUAAACGGAGAAGUCAUCCAUGAAAACCUCAACAAUCUUUUCACAAAAGUCAGAGAAUAUAGCCAUCAUGCAUCUUUGAAAGGUGGCAGGUGCAUUACAUAAGCCAAAAUUCAUACAUCUAUAAGCAAAGGUACCGAAAGGGCUGGUGAAAGUGGUUUUCUCCUGAUCAGAUUGUGUAACACAUAUUUGGGAGAAACCAGAAUAACCGUCUAGAAAGCAGAAGUGUGUGUGUUUAGACAGUCUUUCUAGCAUUUGGUCGAUAAAAGGCAAAGGGUAAUGAUCUUUCCUAGUGGCUUUAUUCGAUUUCCUAAAAUCGAUCACCAUCCUAUAGCCAGUAAUAAUCCUCUGUGGGAUCAAUUCAUCCUUAUCAUUAGGGACAACGGUAAUACCUCCCUUCUUAGGGACGCAAUGCACCGGACUCACCCAAUCACUAUGAGCAACAAGAUAGAUAAUACCUGCUUCCAGGAUCUUUAGUAUUUAUUUUCUUACUACCUCUUUCAUCUUAGGAUUUAAUCUCCGUUGAUGAUCAGCAACUGGUUUGGAAUCAGGAUCAGUUUUAAUCUUGUGCUGACAUAGAGUGGGACUAAUGCCCUUAAGAUUAUCAAGAGUAUAUGCAAUAGCAGCACGGUGCUUCCUCGGAGAAUUUAAUAACUUCUUUUCUUCAUGCUCUGAGAGGCUAGCACUAAUAAUAAUAAUAGGAUAUAUCUCUUUCUCCUCAAGAUAAGCAUACUUAAGAGUAUCUGGCAACUAUUUAAGGUCGAACCCUGGAUCACCCUUUGGUGGGGGUGGAUCCCCAAGCAGUUCAAUAGACAAAUUAUUCUUAAGGAUAGGAUAUUUUUCUAAGACAACUCUACCUAUCUCAUCCCUUUCAUCCAUAUGCAUAUCAUUUUCAUGCUCAAGCAAGUAUUGCUCUAAAGGAUCAGUAGGAGGCACGGCAAUAGAAGCUAGGGCAAUAGUUUCAUCCUUACUAGGCAACUCCUUUUCAUGAGGUUUUCUACCAAACUUGGAGAAAUUGAACUCAUGUGACACGCCUUCAAAGCCAACAACGACAAUUUGCUUCUCACAGUCAAUAUGAGCAUUGACGGUAUUGAGAAAAGGUCUGCCAAAAAUGAUGGGACAAAAGCUAUCUUGUGUGGUAGCAAGAACGAGGAAAUCAGCACGAUACUUCGUUUUACCACACAAGACUUCAACAUCCCUAACAAUUCCCAUAGGGCAGAUAUUAUCUCUAUUGGCAAGCUGAAUAGUGGCAUCAAUGGGUUCUAUCUCGACAGGUGCAAUCUCGUCUUUAUUUUCAUCAUAUAAGGAUUGAGGUAUUGCACUAACACUAGCACCCACGUCACAUAAACCAUGAUAACAAUGAUCUCCUAUCUUAACAUAAACAACAGGCAUGCCAACAACAGGCCUAUGUUUGUCUCUAGCAUGUGGUUUAGCAAUUCUAGCAGCAUCUUCACAGAAGUGAAUAUCAUGGCCAUCAACAUUGUCGGACAGGAGAUCUUUGAUAAUAGCAAUGCUAGGUUCAACUCUAAUUUUCUCAAGGGGUGUAGGUGUUCUAAUGUAGCCCCUACGUAUCACAAUUGAAGCUUUAGAAUGAUCCUUUAUCCUAACAGGGAAAGGUGGUUUCUCAAUGUAAGUGUUGGAAAUAUGCCCUAGAGGCAAUAAUAAAUUAGUUAUUAUGAUAUUUCUUAGUUCAUGAUAAUUGUUUAUUAUCCAUGCUAUAAUUGUAUUGAUUGGAAACACAAUACUUGUGUGGAUACAUAGACAAAACACUGUCCCUAGUAAGCCUCUAGUUGACUAGCUCGUUGAUCAAAGAUGGUCAAGGUUUCCUGGCCAUAGGCAAGUGUUGUCACUUGAUAACGGGAUCACAUCAUUAGGAGAAUCAUGUGAUGGACUAGACCCAAACUAAUAGACGUAGCAUGUUGAUCGUGUCAUUUUGUUGCUACUGUUUUCUGCGUGUCAAGUAUUUAUUCCUAUGACCAUGAGAUCAUAUAACUCACUGACACNNNNNNNNNNNNNNNNNNNNNNNNNNNNNNNNNNNNNNNNNNNNNNNNNNNNNNNNNNNNNNNNNNNNNNNNNNNNNNNNNNNNNNNNNNNNNNNNNNNNUGCGGAGGUGUCGUCCGUUCGGCACUAUAUCGAGAUGGAUCGUGAUGGGAUCGUGGGAUGGAUCGUGAUAAGAUCGCAGGACAGGCUGCGAUUUCAAUCGCGAAGGUGUUCGACUACAUCAACCGCAUUAUAUACACUUUCGCUUAGCGAUCUACAAGGGUAUGUAGAUUCACUCUCCCCUAUCAUAUAUGAUCAUCACCAAGGAUAGGUAUUGCGUGUGUGUAGGAAAUUUUUUGUUUCCUAUGUGACGUUCCCGAACAUUGGUAUCAGAGCUAGGUUGAUGUGUAGAUGAUGUUCGAUUUGCUGCCCUCCUUAGUCUUUUCUCCGUUCAGUGGUAUUGUUGGACUGAAGCGGCCCAGACGAACCUUACUCGUAUGCUUACGAGAGACUAGUUUCAUCGAAUUACAUGCAACUUGUUGCAUAAAGAUGAUUGGCGGGUGUUUGUUUCUUCAACUUUAGUUGAAUCAGAUUUGACCGAGGCGUUCCUUGUAGAAGGUUAAGUAGCAAUACACAUAUCACCAUUGUGGCUUUGUGUAAGUAAGAUGGGAUCAUACUAGAUACCCACAACAACCACGUAAAACAUGCAACAACAAAUUAGAGGACGUCUAACUUGUUUUUGUAAGGUAUGCAUGUGAUGUGAUAUGACCAAAGACAUCAUAUGAUAUAUUGGAUGUAUGAGAUGAACAUGUUGUAAUAGGUAAAUAUCGACUUGCACGUCGAUGCUACGGCAACCGGCAAGAUCCAUUGGGUUGUCUUUAAACUAACGUUUGUGCUUGUAGAUGCUUUUACUAUAUCGCUAGGUUGUAGCUUUAGUAGUAAUAGCCUAGGUAGCGCAACAACCUCGAUGGCGGCAUGAUGAUGGAGAUCAUGGUGCCGCACUGGUGACAAUGGAGAUCAUGUCGGUGCUUUGCUGAAGGAGAUCAAGAAGCACAAGUUCAAUGCACUACAAGAAAAAUGCUCAAUUAUGACCACCAAAUGAUGGUGGUAUUAUUGGUCAUUGAUCCAUGACCAAAAUUCUGAAAUUAGUCAUGACAAGUCUAAGAGGGUCCAAAUCCCAUAAUGUUAUGACCUUCUACGUCCAUUAGGUCAUCAUACUAUUGCACAAAUUGGUCAUUAAGUGCUAACGAUUGAAAAAGAAGAAGAGAAAAAGUGAUAGAGGUGUAUUGGAUGAGGGGAGGGUUUUGAGCAUUGGAUGUAGGAGGACUGGAUGGCCAGGAUCUGUUUCUGGGGAGGGAUCCGUGGCCUCGCAUGUGAUAGGUUGACUACCCAAAGUGAAAAAGAAAAGAGAAAAAAAAGUAAAAGANNNNNNNNNNNNNNNNNNNNNNNNNNNNNNNNNNNNNNNNNNNNNNNNNNNNNNNNNNNNNNNNNNNNNNNNNNNNNNNNNNNNNNNNNNNNNNNNNNNNAAAUGGCUAGAAGCCAAGAAGUCCGAGAUAGGAUUCAUGUAUGAGAACAAAGUGUGGACUUUGGAGGUACUACCUGAAGGCCGCAAGGCUAUUCAGAACAAAUGGAUCUUUAAGAGCAAGACGGACGCUGACGGCAAUGUGACCGUUUAUAAAGCUCGACUUGUGGCAAAGGGUUUUUCACAAGUUCAAGGAGUUGACUACGAUGAGACAUUCUGACCCGUAGCGAUGCUUAAGUCCGUCAAAAUUAGCAAUAGCUGCUUUUUAGAUUAUGAAAUCUGGCAGAUGGAUGUCAAAACGGCGUUCCUUAACGGUUUCCUUAAGCAAGAGUUGUAUAUGAUACAACCCGAAGGUUUUGUCGGUCCUAAGAAUGCUAACAAGGUGUGGAAGCUCCAGCGAUCCAUUUAUGGACUGGUGCAAGCAUCUCGGCGUUGGAAUAAACGCUUUGAUGAGGUGAUCAAAGCAUUUGGGUUUAUACAAGUGGUUGGAGAAUCUUGUAUUUACAAGAAAGUGAGUGGGAGCUCUGUGGCGUUUCUAAUAUUAUAUGUGGAUGACAUAUUGCUGAUUGGAAACAACGUGGAGUUUUUAGAGAGCAUAAAGGAUUACUUGAAUAAGAGUUUCUCUAUGAAGGACNNNNNNNNNNNNNNNNNNNNNNNNNNNNNNNNNNNNNNNNNNNNNNNNNNNNNNNNNNNNNNNNNNNNNNNNNNNNNNNNNNNNNNNNNNNNNNNNNNNNGGAUUAUAUUGAUGGCAAAGGGGGGAACCAGCCCCUUUUUAAUUUAUUUCUUAUUAUAUCCAACAUUUUUAACAAUAAUCAGGAUAUAUAUAUAUAUAUAUAUAUAUUUGACAUAAAUAAAUUUCUUUCCGUACUCAUAACCAUAUUAAAAUAACUUUCAUCCAUAGUGCAUACAUAUUAUGCAAGUUGCAUCCGUACCAAACCACAUAUUACACUAGUUUCAUCCACAUGUAUACAAAGUUUCAUAUAUAUCCGUAUACUACAAUAGUUUCAAUACUAGCUUCCAUGAAGCCAUGGUACAAGAAAUCAUCUUCAAGCAUUCCAUCAAUAUAAUCCAAGCUUCCCGUGAAGUGAAUGUAAUCCGCAAAAUGACAAAUAAGAAAGUUAGAAGAAUAAUACUAGAUGAAGAAGUAUAUAUAGGUUAUUUCAGAGAGAAAUUAGCUAAGUAUAGGCCAUUGUGGAGCUAACUAAGCUAAUUAUGUCAUUUAGGUGGAACCCUAGCUAACNNNNNNNNNNNNNNNNNNNNNNNNNNNNNNNNNNNNNNNNNNNNNNNNNNNNNNNNNNNNNNNNNNNNNNNNNNNNNNNNNNNNNNNNNNNNNNNNNNNNGCAGAAAGUAUCGGUCUACUUGUUUUGGACGUGAUGCCUAUAGAUAUAUCAUUGCAUAGAUAUCGUCACGACUUUGCGCACUUCUAUCAAUUGCUCAAUAGUAAUUUGUUCACCCACCGUCUACUUGCUUUCAUGAGAGAAGCCANNNNNNNNNNNNNNNNNNNNNNNNNNNNNNNNNNNNNNNNNNNNNNNNNNNNNNNNNNNNNNNNNNNNNNNNNNNNNNNNNNNNNNNNNNNNNNNNNNNNNNNNNNNNNNNNNNNNNCCUCCGCUUUUACUUUGCUUUGUUACUUUGUUCCUUUCAGUUCUCACUUGGCAAACAAUCUAUAAGGGAUUGACAACCCCUUCAUAACGUUGGGUGCAAGUUUUUGUGUUUGUGCAGGAUCUUGAGAUACUCCUCCACCGGAUUGAUACAUUGGUUCUCAAACUGAGGGAAAUACUUACCUCCGCUGUGCUACAUCAUCCUCUUCGCUUAGAGGGAAUACCAACGCAGAAGGAUUCCUGGUGUCGUCGACACACCAAAUAUUGUCCCGUCAACGUGUCAUUUCUGGCGCCAUUGGAAGGUCUUUUGUGCAGUAGCACAAGGGACAUCAGAGAGACAGGGCUGCACCGAGAGAGAUGGAAAACCGUGUUCUCAAAGGCCACCCCCUUUAGGGUUUCCGACCCCUUUAGGGUUUCCGACCCUAAAUGGGGGCGGCAACCCUAAAUGGGAGAGGGGGUGGCAGCCAGGAGGGUGAGAGGGGGGUGGCGCACCCCUGGUGGGCCUUAGCCGACCUGACUUAGGGUUUCCCCCCUUUCCCUCUCUAGGUCCCUUGGGCUGGGUGUGGGGGGUGCACCAUCCCACCUAGGGGCUGGUUCCCUCUCACACUUGGCCCAUGUAGCCUCCUGGGGCUGGUUGCCCCUCCUGGUGGACCUCCGGAACCCUUCCGGUGGUCACGAAACUUUGCCGGUGGCGCCCAAAACAUUUCCUGCGUCCAAACCCAUCCAUCCUAUAUAUCAAUCUUUACCUCCCGACCAUUCUGGAGCUAUUCGUGAUGUCCGGGAUCUCAUCUGGGACUCCGAACAACAUUCGGUAACCUUGUAUACCAAUUCCCUAUAACCCUAGCAUCAUCGAACCUUAAGUGUGUAAACCCUACGGGUUCGGGAGGAAUGCAGACAUGACCGAGACACACUCCGGCCAAUAACCGUCAGCAGGAUCUGGAUACCCAUGGUGGCUCCCACAUGUUCCACGAUGAUAUCAUCGGAUGAAACACGAUGUUAAGGAUUCAAUCAAUCCCGUAUACAAUUCCCUUUGUCUGUCGGUAUAGAACUUGCCCGACAUUCGAUCGUCGGUAUACCCAUACCUUGUUCAAUCUCGUUACCGAUAAGUCUCUUUACUCGUUCUGUAGAACGUCAUCCUGUGACUAACUCCUUAGUCGCAUUGAGCUCAUGAUGAUGUUCUACCGAGUGGGCCCAGAGAUACCUCUCCGUCACACGGAGCGACAAAUCCCGAUCACGAUUCGUACCAACCCAACAGACACUUUCGGAGAUACCCGUAGUGCACCUUUAUAGUCAUCCAAUUACAUUGUGAAUGUUUGAUACACCGAAAGCACUCCUACGGUAUCCGGGAGUUGCACAAUCUGAUGGUCGAAGGAAAAGGCACUUGACAUUAGAAAGGCUUUACCAUAUGAACAACACGAUCUAGUGCUAUGCUUAGGAUUGGGUCUUGUCCAUCACAUCAUUCUUCCAAUGAUGUGAUCCCGUUAUCAAUGUCAUCUAAUGUCCAUGAUCAGGAAACCAUGAUCAUCUAUUGAUCAACGAGCUAGCCAACUAGAGGCUUGCCAGGGACACAUUGUGAUCUAUUUAUUCACACAUGUAUUACUGUUUCCUGUUAAUACAAUUAUAUUAUGAACAAUAGACGAUUAUCAUGAACAAGGAAAUAUGAUAAUAACCAUUUUAUUAUUGCCUCUAGGGCAUAUUUCCAACAGUCUCCCACUUGCACUAGAGUCAAUAAUCUAGUUCACAUCACUAUGUGAUUGUAAUGAAUUCAACACCCAUAUAGUUUUGGGGUUUCAUCAUGUCUUGCUUGUGAGAGUGGUUUAUAGUCAACGGCUCUGAACCUUUCAGAUCCGUGUGUGCUUUACAAAUCUCUAUGUCAUCCUAUAGAUGCGACUAUGCCCCAUCUGAAACCAUUCCAAAUAAUUGCUCCAUUGUAUGAAUCCGGUUUACUACUCAUAGUCCUCCUGAUCAGUGACAAAGCUUGUAUUGACGUAACUCCUUUACGACGAACUCUUCAAUCACUUCCAUAAUUGAGAAACAUUCCUUAGUUCGUUAGUUACUAAGGAUAACAUUGACCGCUGUCCAGUGAUCCAUUUUGGAUCACUCUUGUACCCCAUGACUGACUGAUGGCAAGGCACGCUUUAGGUGCGGUACAAAGCAUAACAUACUGGUAGAGUCUACGACUGAUGCAUAGGGGACGACAUUCGUCCUUUCUCUUUCUUCUGCGGUGGUCGGGCUUUGAGUCGUACUCAAAUUUACACCUUGAAACAGAAUCAAGAACUCCUUCUUUGCUGAUCUAUUUUGAACUCCUUCAAAAACAUGUCAAGGCAUGCAAUUCGCUGAAAGUUCCAUUAAGCAAUUUGAUCUAUCUUUAUAGAUCUUGAUGCUCAACUCUCAAGUAGCUACGUCUAGGUUUUCUUUGAGAAACUCUUUUCAAACGACCCUUUAUGCUUUACUGAAAUUUUGCAUUAUUUCUGAUCAACAGUAUGUCAACCACACAUACCAUCAGAAAUUCUAUAGUUCUCCCACUCACCUUUUGGAAAUACAAGUUUCUCAUAAACUUUGUAUAGAACCAAAAACUUUGAUCAUCUCAUCAAACUGUAUAUUCCAACUCCGAGAUGCUUGCUCCAGUCCAUAGAAGGAUCGUUGGAGCUUUGCAUACUUGUUAGCACAUUUUAGGAUCGACAAAAUCUUCUGGUUGUAUCACGUACAACCUUUCCUCAAGGAAACCGUCGAGGAAACAAUAUUUUGACAUCCUAUCUACAAUAUUUCAUCAAUGAUGCAACAACUGCUAACAUAAUUUCAACAGACUUUCAGCAUCGCUAUGAGUGAGAAAGUCUCAUCGUAUUCAACUCUUUGAACUUUGUCGAAAACACUUUUGCGACAAGUCGAGCUUUCUUAAUGUUGACUUUUCACCAUCAUCGUUUGUCUUCUUUUAAAGAUCCAUUCACAGUUAAUAGUCUUAUGACCAUCAAGUGGUUCUUCCAAAGUCUAUAUUUUGUUUUUCAUACAUGGAUCCUCUCUCAGAUUUCAUGGCCUACAACCAUUUGUCAGAAUUUGGGCCCACCAUCGCUUCUCCAUAGCUCGUAGGUUCAUUGUUGUCCAACAACAUGACCUUCAAGACAGGGUUACUGUAUCAUUCUGUAGCAGCAGUACGUGACCUUGUCGACCUACAAGGUUUCUAGUAACUUGAUCUGAAGUCUCACGAUCAUUAUUAUUAGCUUCCACUUCAAUUGGUGUAGGUUCCAUAGUAACAAAUUCUUGCGCCUGCUACACACACACUGGUUGAAGUGAUGGUUCACAUAACCUCAUCAAUUUUCCACCAAAACUCCCACUCAAUUCUUUCGAGAGAAGCUUUUCCUCGAGAAAGGACCCGUCUAAAGAAACAAACACAUUUGCUUCCGGACCUGAGAUAGGAGGUAUACCCAACUGUUUGGGUGUCCUAUGAAGAUGCAUUUAUCCGCUUUGGGUUCGAGCUUAUCACGCUGAAAACUUUUUCACAUAAGCAUCGCAAGACCAAACUUUUAAGAAAUGACAGCUUAGGUUUCUCUAAACCAUAGUUCAUACGGUGUCAUCUCCAACGGAAUUACGUGGUGCCUUAUUUAAAGUGAAUGCGGUUGUCUCUAAUGCCUAACCCAUAAACAAUAUUGGUAAUUUGAUAAUAAAUAUCAUAGUAUGCACUAUAUCUAAUAGGGCACGACUAUGAUAUACGGACAAACCAUCAGACUAUGGUGUUCCAGGUGGCAUGAGUUCUGAAACAUUUUUCACGUGAAACUAUUUUCACAUUGUCUUAAAUGUUUACCAAACUCAUAACUUAGAUAUAUAUAUAUGUUUACCUCCACGAUCACAUUUUAGACAUAUUAUCCUUUUUGUCACGAUGAUCUUCAACUUCACUCUGAAAUUACUUGAACAUUUCAAUAAUUCAGAUUUCUGUUUUAUCAAGUAAAUACACUAGUAUCUACUCAAAUCAUUUGUGAAGUAUGAACACAAUAAUAUCUACUGCGUACCUCAGUACUCAUCGGACUGCACACAUCAAAAUGUAUUACAUACGAAAAGUUACAUUCUUGUUCCAUCUCACUGGAAAAAGAGGUCUUCAGUCAUCUAGCCCAUGUGGUUUGAUUUCCAUGUCUCAAGUGAUUCAAAAUCAAGUGAGUGAAAUGAUCCAUCCGCAUGGAGUUUCUUCAUGCGUUUAUACCAACAGACAUGGUUUGCAUGUUCCAAAUGUUUCAAAAAUGAGUGAGUACAAAGACCUAUCAGCAUGGAGGUUCUUCGUGCAUUUUAUAUCAAUAUGACUCAAGUAGCAGUGCCACAAGUAAGUGGUACUAUCAUUUCUACUUUGUAUCUUUUAGUAACAAUAUUAUGAACAUGUGUAUCACUAUGAUCGAUAUUCAAUAAAGCAUUCAUUCAAGGUGCAAGACCAUUUAAGGUAUCAUUCAACUAAACAAAAUAACCAUUAUUCUCUUUAGAUGAAUAAUCAUAUUUUCCAUUAACAUAAACCUAUCAUGUCUAUGCUCAACGCAAACACGAAAUAACAAUUAUUUAGGUUUUACACUAAUCUCGAUGGUAGAGGGAGCGUGCGAUGUGUGAUCAUAUCAACCUUGGAAACACACACAUCGUCACCUUGCCUUUAACUAGUCUCUGUUUAUUCGGUAGCUUUUAUUUCGAAUUACUAACACUUAGCAACCGAACCGGUAUCUUAUACCCUCGCGCUACUAGGAGUACUAGUAAAGUACACAUCAAUAUCAUGUAUAUCCAAUAUACUUCUAUCGACUUUGCCAGCCUUCUCAUCUACCAAGUGUCUAGGGUAGUUCCUCUUCAGUGACUGUUCCCCUUAUUUCAUAAGCACAUAGUCUCGGGUUUGUGUUCAACCCUGGAUGUCUUCAUAGAGCAGCAACUGGUUUACCGUUUAAUGUAGUAUCCCUUCAAGCCCUUUCCCUUCUUUAAACUAGUGGUUUUACAAACCAUCAACAAUUGAUGUUCCCUUUUGACUUCUACUUUCGUGGUGUCAAACAUCACGAAUGGCUCAAGGAUCAUCAUAUCCAUCCUUCAUACGUUAUAGUUCAUCACCAAGCUCUAGUAGCUUGGUGUUAGUGACCUUGGAGAACUAUCACUGUCUCAUGUGGAAGUUCAACUCCCACUCGAUUCAAGCGGUUGUAGUACUGAGAUAAUCUGAGAACAUGCUCUAUGAUUGAGCUCUUCUUCUUUAUUUUGCAAAGAAAGAAUCUCGUCGGAGGUCUCAUAACUCUCAACAAGGGCAUGAACAGGAAUUCCCAAUUUCAUCUCUUGGAUCAUCACGUAUGUCCCAUGACGUUCGAAACUUCUUUAAUGCCUUAAUUCUAAGUUGUUCAAGCAACACACACUGAACUAUCAUGUAGUUAUCAAAAAAACAUGUAUGUCGGAUGUUCGCAACAUCUACAGACAAUGCUUGGGGUUCAGCACACUUAGCGGUGCAUUAAAGACAUAAGUCUUCUAUGUAGCAAUGAGGAGAAUCCUCAGUUAACGGACCCAGUCCGCACUAUCGCUACUUCUAUCUUUCAACUAAGAUUUCUCUAUGAACAUAUCAAAUACCACAGAGCUAUAGCAAAAGUUACAUAAUUUGCAAAGACCUAUUUGACUAUGUUCAUGAUAAUUAAGUUAAUAUGAUGAACUCCCACUUAAAUCGACAUCCCUCUAGUCAUUUAAGUGAUACAUGAUACAUGUCGACUAACUUUUGUCCGAUCAUCACGUGAGACGGACUAGUCGUCAUGGUGAGCAACUUCAUGCUGAUCGUAUUCAACCAUACGACUCAUGUUUGACCUUUCGGUCUCUUGUAUUCGAGGUCAUGUCUGUACUUGUUAAGCUCGUCGAGUCAACCUAAGUGUUUCGCGUGUGUAAAUCUAGCUUACACCCGUUGUUUGCGAAUGUUAGAAUCUAUCACGUGGUGCUUCGAGACAACGAUCCUUCGCAAUGGUGCACACUUAGGGGAAUACGUUCUCGAAAUUUUUAUGAGGACUCAUCUUAUUAUGCUACCGUCGUUCUCGAAAAACAUGAUAAACAUCACAUGCAAUCAUAUAGUGACAUGAUAUGGCCAUUAUUAUCUUUGCNNNNNNNNNNNNNNNNNNNNNNNNNNNNNNNNNNNNNNNNNNNNNNNNNNNNNNNNNNNNNNNNNNNNNNNNNNNNNNNNNNNNNNNNNNNNNNNNNNNNGCUCCCUGACGGCCCACUAGCCCCCCUCUUUUGCUAUAUGAAGGGUUUUGGUCUGGAAAAAAUCAGACGGGAGCUUUUUCGUGGUUUCGCCGCUGCCACGAGGUGGAACUUGAGCAGAUCCAAUCUAGAGCUCCGGCAGGACGAUCAUGUUGGGGAAACUUCNNNNNNNNNNNNNNNNNNNNNNNNNNNNNNNNNNNNNNNNNNNNNNNNNNNNNNNNNNNNNNNNNNNNNNNNNNNNNNNNNNNNNNNNNNNNNNNNNNNNNNNNNNNNNNNNNNNNNNNCCUAUCGUCGGAGGGGAGGCAUCUUCAUCAACAGCUUCAUCAACACCAUCUCCUCUCCAAUCCCUAUUUCAUCUCUUGUGACCAAUCUUCGUCUCGCAACUCCGAUUGGUACUUGUAAGGUUGCUAGUAGUGUUGAUUACUCUUUGUAGUUGAUGCUAGUUGGAUUACUUGGUGGAACAGUUUAUGGUCAGAUCCUGGACGCUAUUCAUUACACCUCUGAUCAUGAUUAUGAUUAUGUUUUGUGAGUAGUUACUUUUGUUCCUGAGGUCAUGGGAUAAGUCAUGCUGAUAAUAGUCAUGUGAAUUUGAUAUUCGUUCGGUAUUUGAUAUGCUGUAUUUUGUUUUUCCUCUAGUGGUGUUAUGUGAACGUCGACUACAUAACACUUCACCAUAUUUGGGACUAGAGGAAGGCAUUGGGAAGUAAUAAGUAGAUGAUGGGUUGCUGGAGUGACAGAAGCUUAAACCCCAGUCUAUGCGUUGCUUCGCGAGGGGCUGAUUUGGAUCCACUAGUUUAAUGCUAUGGUUAGACUUUAUCUUAAUUCUUCUUUUGUAGUUGCGGAUGCUUGNNNNNNNNNNNNNNNNNNNNNNNNNNNNNNNNNNNNNNNNNNNNNNNNNNNNNNNNNNNNNNNNNNNNNNNNNNNNNNNNNNNNNNNNNNNNNNNNNNNNUCUUGUGCUGACAUAGAGUAGGCCUAAUACGCUUAAGAUCAUCAAGAGUAUAUCCAAUAGCAGCACGGUGCUUCCUCAGAGUUCUUAGUAACUUCUUCUCUUCGUGCUCUGAGAGGAGAGCACUAAUAAUGACAGGAUAUAUCUCCGUCUCAUUAAGAUAGGCAUACUUAAGAGUAUCAGGCAACUGUUUAACCUCGAACACAGGAUCACGCUUUGGUAGGGGAGGAUCCUCAAGCAGUUCAACAAGCAGAUUAUUCUUGAGAAUAGGAUAUUGUUCUAAGACAAUUUUAUCUAUCUCAUCUCUCUCCUCCAUAUGCAUAUCAUUUUCAUGCUCAAGCAGAUAUUGUUCUAAAGGAUCCAUAGGAGGUACGGCAGUAGAGGCAAGAGCAAUGAUUUCAUCUCUAACAGACGACUCUCUUUCAUGGGGUUGUCUUCCAAACUUGGAGAAUUUAAAUUCAUGAGACACACCCUCGAAACUAACUUUGACGGUCUUCUUAAUGCAAUCAAUGUGAGCAAUGACAGUGUUGAGAAAGGGUCUACCAAAUAUGAUGGGACAAAAGCUAUCUUGUGGAGUACCAAGGACGAGGAAAUCAGUAGGAUACUUCGUCUUAUCACACAUGACUUCUACGUCUCUCACACUUCCCAAAGGGCAGAUAGUGUCUCUAUUAGCUAGCGUAAUAGUGACAUCAAUGGGUUCUAACUCAGCAGGUGCAAUCUCAUCUUUGAUUUCAUCAUAUAGAGAACGGGGUAUUGCACUAAAACUAGCUCCCAUAUCACAUAAACCAUGGUAACAGGGAUCUCCUAUCUUAACAGAAACAACGGGUAGGCCAACUACAGGUCUGUAUUUGUCUUUCUCGUGAGGUUUAGCAAUUAUAGCGGAGUCCUCACAGAAUUUAAUAACAUGCCCGUCUAUGUCUUCGGCUAAGAGAUCUUUGAUAAUAGCAACACUAGGUUCAUCUCUAAUCUCCUCAGGGGGUGCAAGUGGUCUAAUGUAGCCCCUACGUAUCAUAGUUGGAGCUUUAGAAUAAUCCUUUAUCCUAGCAGGGUAUGGUGGUUUCUGAGUGUAAGCACAAGGAACAACAGGAUCACUAAAAGCAAUUACAUUCUCCUCAACUAGAUUGGUUUUGGCUAUGUUGCUUUCUACAGGAGGAUGAUAUUUAAACCACUUCUCUUUGGGAAGAUCAACAUGAGCAGCAAAAGAUUCACAUAGAGAAGCUACUAUCUCAGAGUCAAGUCCAUACUUAGCGCUUAAAUUUCUAAAAGUGUUUGUCUCAACAAAAGAUUUAACGCAAUCAAACUAGAAAUUCAUACCUGACUCCUUACCUUCCUCCAGCUCCCAAUCUUCCGAGUUGCGUUUGAUUCUCUCAAAUAAAUUCCACUUGUGAUCAAUAUCCUUCUUCAUAAAAGAACCGGUACAAGAAGUGUCAAGCAUGGUAUGAUCUUCAUGAGAAAGCCGAGCAUAAAAGUUUUGAGUGAUGAUUUCUCUCGAGAGCUCAUGAUUGGAGCAUGAAUAUAGCAUUGAUUUAAGCCUCCCCCAAUCUUGAGCUAUGCUUUCCCUAUCACGAGGCCAAAAUUUAUAAAUAAAGUUCCGAUCACGAAGUACUAAAUGCAUAGGAUAGAACUUUUGAUGAAAUUCCAAUUUCAACCGAUUGUAGCCCCAUGAUCCAGUAUCAUCAUAGAGCCUAUACCAUGUUAACACCUUAUCCUUCAAAGAUAAACGAAAGACUUUCUUCUUUACCUCAUCCUCGGGCAAACCUACAAGCCUAAAUAAACCACAAACUUCAUCUACAUAGAUCAGAUGCAAAUGUGGAUGUGAAGAUCCAUCUCCUGUGAAAGGAUUAGCCAGCAGUUUCUCAAGCAUACCCGAAGGAAUUUCAUAAAAGGUGACCUAUCAUGGUGCUUCCUAUCGUGGUGAAGAUACCCUGAACAAACUCCUCAAAGGAACAGUUUCCAUAGUGACAAGUGACAAUAAAUUUCAGCACAGUAUAUAGAUGUUUCCUUACCAAUUUCCACUUACCAAAGGCGCUUCACUCCCCGGCNNNNNNNNNNNNNNNNNNNNNNNNNNNNNNNNNNNNNNNNNNNNNNNNNNNNNNNNNNNNNNNNNNNNNNNNNNNNNNNNNNNNNNNNNNNNNNNNNNNNCUUACAGGUGCCCCCGAGAUGGUGUGCGGAUAAGAUGGAUUGUUGGGAGGCGUUGGUUGAUGAGUGGUGCACAGGCACCUCGCGAGCCGUCCACGAUAAUGCGAAGGAUCGGCGUAGCCAAAUGGUUGGUGUGCCACACCAUCAAGGCAGCGCCACCUUACUUCAGUUUGGACGAAACUGGGUAUGUGAUUUGCUUCAUGAUUCAUGCAAUUCAUUCUUAUGCUAAUAUUAUGUUCCUCUCUUUUAGGCGCAUCACAAUAAGACUGAGAUGCCACACUUGUACGACCUUUAUGGCAUGGCCCAUACUGCCUCGUACAAGAAGGCGAAGGCAUUCUCUGAGUCUAACCUGGAUGAUCCCAGUAACUUCACCAACAUAUCAUCCCACCAGAAGCUCGUGGCAUACAGGGAGGCGGGGAAGGCUACGAAAGGGGAUGACUUUAACCCUAGCCAGGAACCUUUGGAUCGAGAGCUGGUGAUGAUAUCUGGUGGCGGGAGGCCCCAUGGCUCGAUAGCCAUUGGAGAUGGGAUAAUACGUUGUCCACUCACUCUUCCGGAGAUCAAGGCGUGCCAAUCGAGCAACUGUCCUGAGAUAACACGUCGUCCACGGCCAGUCGAUCUUGCCAUCGAGGUUAGUUGUACGGACUAAGAACACUUUCAUCCAUUUCAUUAUGUGUGUCACCAUAGAUCAUUACUGUGGUAACGAGGAAUGGUUUUUUAGGCUGCUCUUCAGAAAGAGAGAGCGGCAAACCAGGCUGCUCUUGAGAAAGAGAGAUUGGCAAGCCAGGCUGCUCUUCNNNNNNNNNNNNNNNNNNNNNNNNNNNNNNNNNNNNNNNNNNNNNNNNNNNNNNNNNNNNNNNNNNNNNNNNNNNNNNNNNNNNNNNNNNNNNNNNNNNNAAGAACUCACAUACUUGUUGCGAAAGUUUUUAUUAGUAAUCGAAACAAAGUGCUAAACGCAUACUCUGAGGGGAAGGGUUGGUAGGUGUUAACCAUCGCGCGAUCCCGACCUCAACACAAAGGAUGACAAUCAAUAGAUCAAUUAUGCUCUGACUUCCUAACAUAGCGGUUCACCAUACGUGGAUGCUACGGGAAUCACUAACUUCAACACAAGUAUUUCUAGAUUCACAACACCCUACUAACAUAGCUCUUAAUAUUACUAAAUCCAUGUCUCAAACUAAUUGAGAGGAAUCAAAACUUCUCUUUCUACUCAAUGCUCAUGAAGAUGGAGGUUUUUGCAUCUUAUUUCGGUACCUAUCACAUUUGGGACUACUUUCAAAGCAUAAGCCAACUACCAAAUCACGCACCGCCAUGCUCUAAAAUAUAUAAGUGAAGCACUAGAGCAAAAGUAUUUAGCUCAAAAGAUAUAAGUGAAGGACUAUGAGCAUUGUAGCAAAAUCACGAUGAGUGCAUGUCUCUCUCUCUCUCAAAAAGGUGUGUAGCAAGGAUGAUUGUGAGACAAAAUAAAGAAAAUACUCCUAAGAUACACGACGCUCCAAGAAAAACACAUAUCAUGUGGUGAAUAAAAAUAUAGCUCCAAGUAAUGUUAUCGAUGGUUGAAGACGAAAGAGGGGAUGCCUUCCCGGGGCAUCCCCAAGCUUAGGCUUUUUGGUGUCCUUGAAUUUGGCUUGGGAUGCCUUGGGCAUCCCCGAGCUUGAUAUCUUUCCACUCCUUAUCUCUUUGUCCAUGAGAACAUCACCCAAAACUUGAAAACUUCACAACACAAAACUUAAACAGAAACUCAUGAUAACAUUAGCACAAGAAAACAAACUACCACCUUUUUUGGUACUGUAGAAAACUUUAUUUCCAUCUAUAUUGGUGUUGGGCUACUGUAUUCUCACUUUUCCAUGGCUAGUACCCCCCGAUAUUAACCAUAGUUUCAUCAAAACAAGCAACCAACUAAAAAAACAGAAUCUGUCAAAAAUAGACUAGUCUGUAGCAAUCUGUAUACUUCGUAUACUUCUGUUACCUCACAAAAUCUGUAAAAUUACGACGGCCUGGGAAAAACGCAUAUCAACCAGCAGCAAAAAUAAGCAACUCAAAAGCUCUUUAUGAAUAACAAUGAAAAGUCAUCUCGUGAGCGAAAAGUUUCUGUCUUUUUCCAGCAGGAUCAAACAACCAUUACCAAUACUAGUCAUAAAGGUUUUGCUUGGCUCAAACUCAAAAGGAAACACAAAAAAAACAAUCACAACAGAAUCGUGAUGGUGUGGACACAACAAAACAGAAAGAAAAAGAUAAAUUGAUUGGGUUGCCUCCCAACAAGCGCUAUUGUUUAACGCCCUUAGCUUGGCUUAAAAGCGAUAGAAUCACGUAUCGUCGUCUUUGGUGCUCAAACCAUAAGUGGCCCUCAUCAUGGAUUCAUAAGGAAAUCUUAUUUUCUUUCUAGGAAAGUGUUUCAUGCCCUUACUUAAAGAAAAUUGAAAUUUAAUAUUCCCUCCCUUUAUAUCGAUGAUAGCACCGAUAGUCCUUAGGAAAGGUCUACCAAGAAUAAUAUGGCAUGUAGGAUUGCAAUCAAUGUCAAGCACAAUGAAAUCCAUGGGUACAUAGUUCCUAUUUGCAAUAAUAAGAACAUCAUUGAUCCUUCCCAUGGGUUUCUUGACAGUAGAAUCAGCAAGAUGCAAAUUAAGAGAACACUCUUCAAUCUCAUUAAAACCUAGAACAUCACAUAAAGGCUUUGGANNNNNNNNNNNNNNNNNNNNNNNNNNNNNNNNNNNNNNNNNNNNNNNNNNNNNNNNNNNNNNNNNNNNNNNNNNNNNNNNNNNNNNNNNNNNNNNNNNNNGAAAUGACAUAAUUAGCUUCAAAAAGGCAUUCUUAGCUAAUUUAGCCUGAAGAAGUGGACAAGAGGAGAAGAAAGAGGAAAAAUGAAAGGAAGGAAUAAGAAGAGGAAGAGAAGAAGAAGAAGUGAAGGAGGAGGAUAAGAAGAANNNNNNNNNNUUGACCUAUACUUAGCUAAUUAUCCUCGAAAUGACAUAAUUAGCUUCAAAAAGGCAUUCUUAGCUAAUUUAGCCUCAAGAAGGGGACAAGAGGAGAAGAAAGAGGAAAAAUGAAAGGAAGGAAGAAGAAGAGGAAGAGAAGAAGAAGAAGAGAAGGAGGAGGAGAAGAAGAAGGAGAAGAAGGAGGAGAAGAAGGAGAAGGAGCUCCUCCUUCUCCUUCUUCUUCCUCCUUCUUCCUCCUUCUCCUUCUCUUUCUUAUUUUCUUCUUCUUCUCCUCGUCAUUCUCCUUCUGCACCUCCUCCUCCUCCUCGUCGUCCUUCUUUUACUUAUUCUUCUCUUUCCCUUCUUCUACGUAGCUUAGACUCAUCUAAGAAAGGCUAAAUUGGCUAAUUAUCCUACAAAAUGACAUAAUUAGCUUAGUUAGCUCCAAAAUGACCUAUUUAAUUAAAAAAUGACCUAUAAUUAGCUAAGUUCUCUCCUAAAUGACAUAAUAAGGCUUACGUAGCUGCUAGAUGACCUAUUCCCCCUAACAUAGGUAUUGAAUGGCCUAUAAUUAGCCUAGCUAGAUCCAAAAUGGCUUCAUAAGCAUAGUUUGCUCCGGAAUGACCUAUUUUACCCAAGUUAGCUCANNNNNNNNNNNNNNNNNNNNNNNNNNNNNNNNNNNNNNNNNNNNNNNNNNNNNNNNNNNNNNNNNNNNNNNNNNNNNNNNNNNNNNNNNNNNNNNNNNNNAUAAGUAGAAGCAUAUGAUCCUCUCUCAUAGUAAUUUUCAGUAGCAUCAUGAAUGAAUUCAACAAUAUAACCAACACCUAAGGCUUUCUUUGCAUGAUCUACAAGCAUAGGAAUUUUACUACUCUCCACAUAAGGAAAUCUAUUCUCAAGAAUAGUAGUGGGAGUAUCGUAAAAGACUUGAGCACUACAAAUUGUGUCCACAAUGAAAAAGCAAGGUUUAGCAAAGGGGUUCUCGGGAGUAUGACAAGUUUUAUCAUCCCUCUUCUUUAUAGCAUAAGUAUCCUCACAAUAAUCAUCAUAGAUAGGGGACAUGCUUUCAUCAAAAUAAUUUUGAUCAUUCAAAGCGGAAGAACUAAAAAGAUCAUCUUCAUCAAAUAUAGCAUCCCCAAGCUUGUGGCUUUGCAUAUCAUUAGCAUCAUGGGUAUUCAAAAAAUUCAUGCUAAAAGCAUUGCAAUCAUGCUCAUCCUUCACAUAUUCUAUGCCAAACAUUCUAUGCAAUUCUUCUUUUAGUACUUGAGCACAAUUUUCCUUCCCAUCAUGCUCACGAAAGACAUUGAAAAGAUGGAGCAUAUGAGGCAUCCUCAAUUCCAUUUUUUUAUAGUUUUCUAGCGAAAGAACAAGAAACAAAAAGAUUCGAUUGCAAGAUCCAAAGAUAUACCUUCAUGCGCUAACCUCCCAGAAAAAUGCUUCCUUGACUGGAUGUUAGUGCCGCUUACCUAGCCUCCCCGGCAACGGCGCCUGAAAAAUGCUUGAUGUCUACUACGCAACCCUCUCCUUGUAGACGUUGUUGGGCCUCCAAGAGCAGAGGGUUGUAGGACAGUAGCAAUUUUCCCUCAAGUGGGUGACCUAAGGUUUAUCAAUCCGCGGGAGGCGUAGGAUGAAGAUGGUCCCUCUCAAGCAACCCUGCAACCAAAUAACAAAGAGUCUCUUGUGUCCCCAACACACCCAAUACAAUUGUAAGUUGUAUAUGUGCACUAGUUCGGCGAAGAGAUGGUGAAAUAAGUGCAAUAUGGAUGGUAGGUAUAGGUUUUCGUAAUCUGAAAUUACAAAAACAACAAGGUAACUAGUAACAAAAGUGAGCACGAACGGUAUUGCAAUGCGUGGAAACAAGGCCUAGGGUUCAUACUUUCACUAGUGAAGUUCUCUCAACAAUGAUAACAUAAUUGGAUCAUAUAACUAGCCCUCAACAUGCAACAAAGAGUCACUCCAAAGUCACUAAUAGCGGAGAACAAACGAAGAGAUUAUUGUCUGGUACGAAACCACCAUAAAGGUAUUCUUUCUGAUCAAUCUAUUAUAGAGUUUGUACUAGAAUAACACCUUAAGAUACGUAUCAACCAAGACCCUAAUGUCACCUAGAUACUCCAUUUUCACCUCAAGUAUCCGUGGGCAUGAUUAUACGAUAUGCAUCACACAAUCUCAGAAUCAUCUAUUCAAUCCAACACAUAGGACUUCAAAGAGUGCCCCGAAGUUUCUACCGGAGAGUCAAAACGUGUGCCAACCCCUAUGCAUAGGUUCCCAUUGUCACGAACCCGCAAGUUGAUCACCAAAACAUACAUCGAGUACUCACAUGAAUCCACUGUGCCAACCCAUAUGCAUAGGUUCCCAAUUGUCACAAACCCGCAAGUUGAUCACAGCACAUAGACACGUGCAAGACAAACAUCAAGUGUUUUCAAAGACUCAAUCCGAUAAGAUAACAUCAAAUGGGAAACUCAAUUCAUUACAAGAAGGGAGAGGGGGAAGAACAUCAUAAGAUCCAACUAUAGUAGCAAAGCCCACGGUACAUCGAGAUCAAGGCAUCUCAAGAACACGAGAGAGAGAUCAAACACAUAGCUAGUGGUACAUACCCUCAGCCCCGAGGGAGAACUACUCCCUCCUCAUCAUGGAGAUCGUCGGGAUGAUGAAGAUGGCCACCGGAGAUGGAUUCCCCCUCCGGCAGGGUGCCGGAACGGGCUCCAGAUUGGUUUUUGGUGGCUACAGAGGCUUGCGGCGGCGGAACUCCCGAUCUAGGUUUCUUUCUGGAAGUUUCUGAAUUUAUAGGAAUUUAUGACGGUGGAAUUGCGUCAGUUGGGCCCACGAGGAGGUCACAAGCCCGCAUAGUGCGGCCUGGGGGGUAGGCCGUGCCCCAUGGGUUUGUGACUCCCUCGUGGCUCUUCUGGCCUUCUUCCAAAGCUUCGGGGGUCUCUUUUGGUCCAAAAAAAUCAUCGUAAAGUUUCAUUCCGUUUGGACUCCGUCUGAAAAAGGGUCAAAACACAGAAAAGACAGAAACUGGCACUUGGCACUGAGUUAAUAGGUUAGUCCCAAAAAAUAUAUAAAAGGCAUGCAAAACAUCCAAAGUUUGACAAGAUAAUAGCAUGAAACCAUCAAAAAUUAUAGAUACGCUGGAGACGUAUCACCCACCCUCUAGCUUUAUCCACAUACUACAAACCCUAUGAUGUGAUCCAUGCAUGCAUAAACAUAUGAUGGGUACCAUAGGACUUUAAUUUUUUUAAUAUAUAGCUCAAAUCAUCCAUGGAGAUUCAAUAGUCAAUCAUAUGUCUAAAGGGAACUACACAAAUAUGACAUAGAUGCAAUAGAUCAUUUGCAAAUAAUUUAUAACAUCAAACACCAUGUUUACAUAGGGGAUUACAGAGGUUUGUGGGAGAGUGGACUACUGUAGCUAUGGAGGAGAUGAUGAUGGAGGUGUUGGUGAAGGAGGCAUCACGGCGAAGAGGAUGGAGAAGGGGCACCACAUGAGGUGCAGGGCGACGUCGGCGGCGCAGGGGCUCCUCCUGCGCCGGCCGGCCAUCAUGGGGGAGCCCCGCCCCUUAGCCCCCUUCCUCCAUGGCUUCUUGGUGCUGUAGAUGACCCCCCCCCCCCAUGGAGAUGAGGCCAUGGGGGAGGCAAAAUUCGUGGCUUUUAUUGGCUGCUGAGAAAUCAGGGUUUUCCUCUCCUUAUAUGAGCUAUGACGAUCAUCCUUAGCCCUCCGAUGGAUGACCCUUUGAUCCAAGGUCUCUUGGGCACAUCUAGAACCUUCCGAGGGACCCCUCUCAGCCCUAAUGAGGUCCCAAAGUCAUGGCUUGGCCGAAUCCAUCAAAUAUGGUAAGAGUUGGACUCAAUCACGUCACCGAUACCCGUAAUCAGAUAUUUGUCCUCCAGUAAAACGGGAUUUCCUGGAGCUUCCGUACUGCAAAUGGACCGAAUUGUAUAUCUAGAAUUAUCAGCAUAAAAUUCUCCAUACUUUUGUCUUCUGUAAGAUUUCCGUCUGACGCCGUCUUAGACCCAUAACGUGGCAGUCUUUAAAAAGAGUUUUCGGACAGAUUUCAGGAAAGUCCCAAUUCGACUUCAACAAGGUUUCCCCUUCUAUUUUUGAUAGUUCCUACACAUAAAAAUGUAAAACAAUAACAUUGUGCACUUUUGCAACUAUUAAUAGGUUAGUCCAAAUAAAUAAUAAAGUUAAUAUAAAAACAAUUACCAAAAGCAUAAAAGUGUCAUGAAACCAUCAAAAAUUAUAGAUACGUUUUGGACGUAUCAGUGUCAUGAGGACAUUCACCUAAAGACUUUCCAUGCAACUUUUGGGAACCUAGAUUUUACUCAGAGGCGGUCCAUUCCUGCAGUUAGUUCCAACAUAUCGGAUAAAUACUUCACCAACAUGAGUUUUGAACAGUUUAUAGUUGAAGUCAAAUGAGUCAUCAGAGGAAUAAGACAUUUCACAUGCAAAGCCUGUUAGAGUGGAUGGAUCAAUGGGAGAUCCUUUGGCAGCAACCCAUGAGGUUUGGGGGUACUAUUCAGGUUUCCAGUAUGACCCAUCAACGUCCAGUUUGCUCUCAAAGGCAAUGCCCUCUUUCCUCAGGUUCCUGUUCAGAAUCCUCUUUUUAAGCACAUCACAAAGGGUUUGAUGCCCUUUGAGACUUUUGUAUAUGCCUGUCACAUACAAUUCCUUCAACCCUUCGUCAAUAACAUUUGUGGUUUCUUCAGGUGAAGAGUUAGAUAGCACAUGAACAGUUGAAGAAUUUGUAGUGAUAGAAGCAUAUGAAGUUUCAGGUGAAGAAUUAGUAGUUUCACGUUCGAUGCAUUUCAGACAUGGUGCAAUGAAAUCUUCCUGAGCGGUACUGAUCUGUUGAGCAAGAAAUGAAUCAUAUUUUCCAUUCGAAGAUCAUCAUCGGACAUUUCCAGUUUCUCAAGAUCUAGCUUCCUUUGAAGAAGUUCAUUGGAAAGCUUCUCAUGAUCAUCCAAGAGUGUACCAUAACGAUCUUGAAGACUAUCAAAUCUAGACUAAAGACUUUGAACAUCUUUAGUGAGGAUUUGAGUAUGAUUCAUUUCAUCAUUCAAUAGAUCAUCGCUUUUGUCUAGCAGUUUCUAAAGCUUUUCAAUUGCACUUUGUUGCUUAGUGGCAAUGUUGGCAAGUUUAUAGUAACUGGGUUUUUGAUAAUCAUCAGGUUCACAGUCACUAGAAUUAGAGGAGGAAGUGUGGUUUGGUACCUUUGAACCUUUUGCCAUGAAGCAAUAGAAGGGAGCGAUGUCAUCAUCAUAGUCAUCAGUGUUGUUGACGUUGACAUUUUUUUCAAGGUUGAAGAUGGACUUGUUGAUGAAUGUGGUAGCAAGUGCCAGACUUGCCACACCAGACUUCGACUACACUUCAGAACCCUCCUCUUCAUCACAUUCUCAGAUUCUUCUUAAGAAUCCAUUUCCUUUUCAAUGAGUGCUCGAGCCUUUCUGAAACUGGUCUUCUUGUGCGAUGAGGACUUUGAAGAUUUCUUCUUUUUCUUCGAGUCAUCAGAACUUUCAUCCUUGUAUUUCUUCUUCUUGACUCCUUCACCCAACGAGGACAAUCAACAAUGUAGUGACCAGAUUUCUUGCAUUUAUGACAGGUUCUUUUCUUGUAGUCCUCACGUGAAGAUUCUGAUCUCCUCAUAUCUCUUCUUGAAGACUUUUCGAACUGGCCAUGCCUUGAGAGCUUCUGGCAUUUCCUCACGAUCAUAGCAAGUUCCUGACCAAGUUCUUCAGGAUCAGCAAAACUGCAGUCAGAUUCUUCUUCUUCAGAUGAGGAAACAACAUUUGCCUUCAAUGCACGAGGUCUUGAGUAGCUUAGCCCAUAAAGGUCUCUCUUCUCUUCUUGUUGGAAUUCAUGAGUAUUGAGUCUCUCAAGUAUAUCAGCAGGAUCAAGCAUCUUGUAGUCUCUUUGUUAUUCAAUCAUCAGUACCAGUGUGUCAAAUGAUGGAUCAAGAGAACGUAACAGUUUCUUCACAACUUCAUGAUCAGUGAUGUCUCUAGCUCCUAGAGCUUGCAGCUCAUUUGAGAUGUCAGUGAGGCGAUCAAAGGUAUCUUGGCAAUUUUCAUUAUCUAGUCUCUUGAAGCGGUUGAAGAGAUUACGAAGAACAUCAACUCGAGAGUCCCGCUGUGUGGAGACUCCCUCAUUGACUUUGGACAACCUUUCCCAGAUAAGCUUCGUAGAGCCCAAAGCACUCACUCUGCUAUACCGACCUUUGCUCAAUGGCCACAGAUGAUAUUCUUUGCUUGUGAGUCAAGUUGCUUGAACUUCUUCACAUCAGCGACAGUGAUAGUUGAAGUGACAGAGGGAACGCCAUUUUCCACGAUGUAGCAGAGAUCGUUGUCAAUUGCUUGAAGAUGCAUUUGCAUCUUGUUCUUCCAGUCGGGGAAGUCCUUUCCUUCGAAGGUAGGACAACCCGUAGUAACCUUGAUCAUACCUGCGGUCGACAUAACUAAAACUCCACGCGGUUAAACCAAAAUCACACAAAACAAGGGAGUACCUUGCUCUCAUACAAUUGAAACCACAUUAUAUUGACUAGAGGGGGUGAAUAGGCGAUUUUUACAAAUUCAUCACUGAGGAAAUUCCUAGUGAGGAAAGUAUUCAGUCAUGAACUGAGUGGAGCGGAAAUAAUACUUAGACAGAUAUGCAAAAGCGACUACAACAAAGUACUCAGUGUGAGUUGAUAGGUUCGGUUUGCAUAGGUCAUGUAUACACGAUGAGCAGGUGAUGCAUAACUCACAUGAAGAAUUUGAGGUGAGGAAUUCAGAGAAAGUAUUCAUCAAAUUCUUCAAACGGUGCAUAUGAAAGUCUUCAACAUGCAAUUGAGGAAAUGAAAAAAGUUGAAGAAAUAGAACCAGUAGCUUGAUGAAGACUGUGGUUGAUGACACAGUUCCAACUGCUGCGACAGUUGUACGUCUGGUUUGGAGCGGCUUGCAAUUGAAACCAAAGGACACACAAUCCCGAGACACGAAGUCCCCACUGUAUUCUCCUUGAGCUAAGGAUAAACAGUCCUCGCCCAACACUCGUGGUAAGUCUUCAGGGCAGACUUCCAAACCCCCACAAACUCGGUCACCCGGUGAUCCACAAUUGACUGGUGGAUGCUCUAGACCAUGAUGCCUAACCAUCUGGAGGAUGCACAAUCCUCAAAGGUACCAAGCCUCGGUUCCACACAGGAACAAUCUCUUCAGUGAUGCUCAAUCACUUUGGGUUUUGGGUUUUGGUUUGGGUGUUUGGGGUAUUUCCUCACUUGAUGAUUUUUUCUCAAAGUCCUCGAGGAAUUGGGUUGCUUUAAGUGACAAGUGUCAGCUUCUCUUGGAGCAGCCAACCAACUAGUGGUUGUAGGGGGCGGCUAUUCAUAGCCAGGGAGCAUGCUGACAUGAUAUGAAUUUAAUUCCCCCAAUGAUAUGACCGUUGGGUGGAUAAGAUUGGGGACACGUGGAGCGCGGCACGGCAACGGUCGGAACUUUCAACGGUGAAAGUCCUCAUGCCUCUCAUGUUCCUCACUUGGAGGAUCUGCUAGGUGUAGGUUUGAUUUGAGCAUCAUGAGGAAAUUCUUUCCUUUAUUUUACCUGGACCCCCUUUAACAGUAUGGUGUUCCUAUGAAUCAAGAAAGAACAAAAUGAAACAGAAGGAGUAAAUCUUCAAGCUUCAAAGUCUAUAGAGCAUUUUCUUCGGGACACACCAAAUUCCUCAUCUUCAAUGUCUUCAUGAGGCAUAGCAAUUUCUUUGCUACCAAAGUCUUCAAUAAAUGACCAAAGUCUUCACCCGAAGACAUUCAUUUUUAGGGGUCCAUAUUAUUCGAAUAACUCAAACUCCACCAGCGACUUAUAGAGUUUGUGUGCACUCACAAACAUAUCAGUCUCUUAACCUAUAAGUCUUCAAUCCACCGAAAUCACUAAUGGGCACUAGAUGCAGUUACAAAGACAAAUCGUAUUCUUUUCCCUCGAGAUUUUCCAAACUGAGAUUUUAUAGAAUCUGUUGAAAAGAAUUGGGCCUUAACUCCUCUAGUAUUAUAAAGAUUAUAUAAAUAAGUGAAACAAAUUAAGCAAUAUUUCCCUUUUGAUGAAAAAAUGACCAGUUAGAAGGAAAAUGACGAAAAAAAAGUUUUUUCACAAAAAGUUACCCUGCAUGCACUAUAUGAAAUCUCUUUAUCAGGUUCAUCCUAAAUGGAGUUGUAUGUAUUAUCGGCCAACAUCCUAACUAUAUACUGCCAUGAACUUUCUUUAAAAAAAAGAUGAUCUUCGGUCUCUGCAUUAUUGUGAUGCACAUUGUCAUUUAUUACAAAGUGCGAGUAUGAACUCAAGGAUGCACACAAAUGAUGUGACCUUCAAUAUACAUAUUGAAGUUUUGCACUUCCGCAUAUUCACAUUGACACGAAUAUUGUGUGAUCCAUUAAGAAGCAUAGCGUGAUUGAUAAGUGUCCCCUUGCACGCAAAAACAAGUGAUAUUACUUAAUCUUCUUCAAUUAAUUGCCAUAAUAGGCAUGUAUACAAUUUUCAAAUACUCCUUCCAUCAUAGUUUAUAAGACAUGGUUAAAUUUGCGUACAUUUUCAUAAUAGACAAGGUGUAGGACGCAUUGCAUUUACUGCUAAUAGCUAAUUAGUACUCCAUUGUACUACUUCUAUAUGCACGCAUAGUGUGAAUGUUAUUUUUCAGACCAUCUGAGAGCCAAUCAAUAACCACCUAGGUUUCAGAGAAUUUCCAAGCACGCCUUCUAAACCGUGACAGAGGGAGUAAAACUUUCGUUGCGCCCAAUAUAAUAUUAAAUUUUGAAAACACAAAGUUAUAAAUAAUAUUCAUGACAAUUGUUGUUUUUUAUUUUAUUUUGCACAACUAGGUUGUGGACGCCGCGCCGCCACCCGCGAGGCGGCCGCAGAGAGCAUCCAGUCCCACGCCGCGAGCUCCCUCCCCUCCUUCCCUCUCCUCCCUCGCCACUGCUAGGGCGACGAUGGGGCUCAUUCCCCCCCCCUUCACGCGAUGGGAUGUUGCAGGACCUCCCAUCGGGUGCGGGCAUCGGGCAUGGCGUGGCGGUACGUAGCUCCCGGCAUGCGUGCACUACGUGGACGGCCGCAGGAGGUGGUGCGCGCCUCGACACAGCGUCCGAAACUGGCUGGCAGGCGGCGCGGGCCAUGGCGGCGGGCGCCGGUGGCCUUUGCUUGCUCUGCGGUGGUAGUGGUUGCGGGCGACGGUGGUCCUCUACCUCGGGUGUGGGCUCAUCUUGGGCAGCACCGGGGUUGGGCGGCGGUGCGCGCCGGGCGGAGCUGUUGUGGUGCAACAGCUAGGCUCCUUCCGGUGGCACGAGGCGGUGAUGUCGGCCUCCUUCCCCUGGAUCUGUUCCGACGGUGCGCGGGGCUUGGCGGGCGUCGAUGUGCCGUCCGCAUGCCUUUUGGGGAUGGGCCACAUCUAGAGUUCAUGCUCGGGCAGAUCAGAUCGGGGCUCGGGGCGGAACGAAGCUUUUGCUUCGGGUAGGAGAGGCUGGGAUUGAUCCGUGAUGUGCUCGCAUGGAUGCUCAGGCUUCCUUCCCGGGUACGGUGUUCGCUGGUGGUGGUCGUGAUAUCGGUGCGUCGGUGGAUGGAUCGGCGGCGGUGACCGCGGACAUGGCGUCGGGUGAGCUCGCCUGCCCAUGGGCUUGGGACUGGCUUGCCAGCGACCGUCGUUAGUCUCGGAGUCGUGUCCCUCCCAGUCCACUAGGUAUUGGCGAGGGAGGCUGGUGUGGAUGCCUCCUACAUUGGAGGUGUCUAUCCAGACUCGGGACUGAUGUCGGGCUAGAAGUUGAUGGAGAGGCGUCGUUCUUCAUAAUGUGGUUAUGUGCGGCGUGAGGUGCCACCGAUGGUAUCUCGCAGCAGGAAUGCCGGGGCGGUGGCCCCGGAUGGUGGGUUGCAUGCUUGCUCUCUGGCGGGCAACAUUGUGAUGAUGGUGGCUCCCUUCCCGGGUUGUGGGGGCAAUGGGAGGUGGGGUGGCCUAUAGCUCGGACGUGAUCUCUCUUGUGGAGAUGUGGCAUCCUGGUCUGGAUAUGGGGAUCUGACAGUGUCGUGCUCCUCUUGGCGGCCUUGUAGUGACAGAGAUGUGUUGCCGAGCAAAAGCUCCAUGCCUUGGCGCCAACGACGGCGACACCCGUGGGUGCCGUGCUUUUUCUGAAGACGUCGUUGUGGUUCUUCUCCUCGUGUCAGGGCUCCGUUGAAGACCUUUGUCCGAUGGACUCGAUGGCGGCAACGGCGCUCUACAUCGUUUCCCCUCUUGAGGGCAUUGUCGUAGAGUCUAGGUAUGUUCAGUCGUAGCGUGAGGGUGUUUAGCUCGCUUGGUGCGUGCUACCGGUAGCGUCGCGUGCAUUCUACGUGUGUCGGGUAUCUCAAGAUCGGGUGUGUAAGAGGACUAUCUCAUCAUCUUGUAUCAUUCGACCGUGUACUACUGUGCUUGUUGCUUUAUUUAUAAAGCGGGGCAAAAGCCUGUUUUGAGAACUAGGCUCUUGGGCGGCAAUAUUUCCCUUGCAAUCUACAUGCUUGAGGAUACGGCAAAAAAAUCUGAAUAGCUUUUUUGGAUGAAUGCAAAUAUGAAUGUAUUUUUUUAUCAUAUUUUUUAUAGUACUUUCUCCGUUUUUAAAUAUAAGUUUUUUUAAAGGUUUCAAUAAAAGAAUACAAAUGGAUGUAUAUAGACAUACUUUAAAAUAUACAUUCAUUUAUUUUGUUUAAUAUAUAAUCUCUAUUAAAAUCUCUUAAAAGACUUAUAUUUAGGAAUGGAAUGAGUGAAUACUACGUACCCCUUAGUAGUACAUUUUGUAUUUUUUGCAAGUGAAGUGUAUCUCCACAAGACCACAACCGAUGAACUGACUAACUGUACUGGCGUCGUCGCGAGUCCUUGUUCGAUGAAUCUGGACGAGAAAGAAGGGCACAAAAUCUGCGUGGGCUCCCGCGGGUGCGCCUAGCGAAUACACCGCGUAACAAAAACUUGUAGGCCCAAUUGAAUUCCUCAAGAUUUUUCUCGCCCUUUUCCAGCCUUCGCUUCCUCUAUAAAUAGUCUUGGCAUCGACGCCAUUCUACCCCCUCUUUCCUCGCCUCCCUCUCCUCGCGUAUUGCUCGACUCCCCACCUCUCGCACUCAAUCCAGGUCCCUUUCCUACGUUAAGGUGUGUGCAUGUUCUUCUUCCCCUACCCAUUCAGUCGCCUAGUUUACUUGUUCGCAUGCAAUGCUCAGUUUACUUGUUCUCUCUCUCUGCAUCUCCCUAUGAAAUUUGCCUGAUGACUGUAUGAUGGUUGCAAAUUUGCUAGGGGACCAGAGCUGACCCCCUUCUCUUGCCAUUGUUUCUUGUUUACUGAAUCCCUUCCCCCCUAGACUGCAUAUUUUUAUUAGCGUUUAGCAGUGUGUAUAUGGCGCGAGGUUCUGUUAAUUAUUUUGUUUCUUAUAAAUCUUCCGCUGAGGAUUUGGUCGUCGCGAAGAAGGUUGAAUUACCGAACUGAUUAGUCAAGUCAAAUGUUUCAAACUUGGCCUUUUCCCACGAACCUGCUGUAGCCUGACGUUCUCAUGCUUCCAUCAUACUCGUAAUUCAUAGCUUAGUUCUUAUGCUUCCGUCAUGGCUUGUAGGGGCACAGCACGAUUGCUCUUCUCAUAUUCCGGCCAAAGGCAAUUUAAUGCCGCUCAAUUUAACUUGCGUACAAAAUAUGGAUUGGUUAGGUUUACCUACCGUUCUUAAGUUCAGAAGGAGAAACAGAAACAGAAACACUCACCAUUAACACCUGGGCCAGAGCACACAUGGCAUCAGUGAUUAGGCCGGCAUAUCAUUGCACAUGUUUAUGUUCUUUCAGGAAAAUGUUAAUACUACAAGGCUAACUAACCAUAGUUAAGGCUAACCCCAUUCUCGAAAAAUAAUACUCCCUCCAUCCCAAAAUAAGCGUCUCAAGGUUAGUACAACUUUGUAUUAAAGUAAGUACAAAGUUAAGACACUUAUUUUGAGACGGAGAGAGUAAUAGUUAAGGCUAACCAAGCUAUCUAUCUGCAAGUUUUUACUUUGACAUUUUCCUUUUCCUCCUGCUUAUCCUGGAUGUUGUUUUCUUCCUCCACUCGUGACAAGGACACAUAUUUAACAUGGCUUGACACUUGAUCCAUGUGUAGUUGUCGACGUCAUGGAAGUAACUAGUCUAAUGUUUGAUCUUUCCGGGUAACUGAAAAUACCCUGUUCUUGAUUCGUGCAGUGACACUUUCUGAACAUCGGAGUUUUUCCGGAAAGGAGGUUGAAACCCGGGCCUUUGCAUCAUUCUGAACAUUGGAGUUAACGGAGCUGGCUUUGUAUGGCUUUUCAUAUGCAAGAAUCCAGUCUUGUGAUAUAGAUGUGUCAUCUCUCUCAGCAUGACAAGGUACAGAUCAUCCUGAAUUACCUCCCCUUUUCUCAUGGACCAGGCGCCCUUUCCCUAACGCUACCCUACCUUCUCUCAUCAGUUCUUAGGUAUUCUGCUGUUGAUGAACUUCCACCACACCUGCAGCGACAAGAAAACGCUGAAGAAGUGGUUCUUCAUCGACAAGACAGUGGGCUAAGCAAAUCCAGCUGAAAGAGAGACGACCACCGUACUGACCCCAUUUUCUCUUCGUCCGGCCCGAUGGAUUUGAGCAACAGCUCACCGGUCAUCACCGACCCGAUAGGAAUGAGCCAGUCGUUGAUGGGCGUGCUGCCUUCCAAAAUGAUGCCAUUUUCAGUCAGGUCCGGAGGUUACUCCGGCGCUGGUGGCGCGGGGGUAAACGUCAGCAGGCGCAAGAUCGAGGAGGUCCUCGUGAGCGGGCUGCUGGAUGCGAUGAAAUCCUCGUCGCCGCGUAAGAAGCACAACGUGGUCUUCGGCCAGGAAGACCUUCCUGAAGAAGAUCCUGCCUACAGUGCAUGGAUGGUAUGAUUUUCCAUGAUUCAGUUUUGGGUGACGCAGCAAGAAGCAGUACUAGCUAGUAUAUAUGCCUCUUCUGAAGAAAGGCUUCGUUACAUACAUGUGUCUUGUGCUGUAGGCAAAAUGCCCUUCUGCUCUGGCAUCCUUCAAGCAGAUCGUAGCGAGUGCACAAGGCAAGAAGAUUGCGGUGUUCUUGGACUAUGAUGGCACGCUGUCGCCGAUCGUCGACGACCCUGAAAAGGCCGUCAUGUCCCCUGUGGUAAAUCAGAAUAACCUGCUUAAACUAGUACUAACGUUUCUUGGUUAUCAACAAAUGGGCACCUGCUUAUAGUUGUCCCCCCAAAAAUUUCUCCUUAGAUGAGAGCUGCUGUGAGAAACGUUGCCAAGCACUUCCCCGCCGCCAUCGUCAGCGGAAGGUCCCGGAAGAAGGUAUUGAUAACUAUGCUAACUGUUUGCACGUGUCACUGUGCUGAUAUCAGAAUCCUCCCUAGUGAUAUGCAGUUAUAUGCCUGAUUCAUUUGAUAUAUGCAUGUUUGAUAUCAGAAUCCUGGUGAUAUGCAAUUAAUGCCUGAUUAAUUUGAUGGUUUUAUUCUAAUUUAUGCAGGUUCUUGAAUUUGUAAAACUGAAGGAGCUCUGUUAUGCUGGAAGUCAUGGGAUGGACAUAAUGACAUCUUCAGCACAUUAUGAACACAAUGCUGAAAAGGUGAGCAUGUCCUGCUCAUUCGUUUCAGGGAUGAUAAAAUCCACUGUCUUAUGUGCGCCACACUCACGGUUGCUUAACUCUACUUGUAGGGCAAAGAAGCUAACAUCUUCCAACCUGCUCGCGAUUUUCUGCCUAUGAUCGACGAGGUGCGCUUCUUCUUAUUUAACUCUGAUGAAGCUGACAAACUGUAAUACUUUAGUCGACUGGACAACUGAAACUUCAGAAAAUGACAGGGAUUCAAUUCAUGCAAAGUUCAGCGAUUCUUGUGUUGUAUUAAUAGGUAUUUUUCGCAACAGGUUUCCAAGGCCCUCUUGGAAGUCACGAGCGGAAUCGAAGGCGCGAGCGUUGAGGACAACAAGUUCUGCGUGUCUGUUCAUUACCGCAACGUAGACGAGAAGGUAAAAACCCUGUGCCUCAAAUCUCUUUUGCCUCCUCUCUGGGUCUCCCUUCCAUGGACGGCAUACACCUGCAGAUUCGCCCGACAGUUUUGCUUGGUUGCUGCUCGCAGGACUGGGAGCUGGUCGCACGGCUCGUAAACGAGGUGCUGGAGGACUUCCCCCGUCUCAAAGUGACCAACGGACGAAUGGUUUUAGAGGUUCGUCCGGUGAUCGACUGGGACAAGGGGAAGGCCGUGGAGUUCCUGCUUCAGUCGCUCGGGCUGAGCGACUGCGAGAACGUGAUUCCCAUCUACAUCGGAGACGACCGCACCGACGAAGACGCGUUCAAGGUUUCCAUUUCUUUCUCUGGAGAAAAUUUUGGCAGUUCUUCUUGUGCAGUCCUUUGGCAUCUUUGGUCCGCCUGUAAACUGUAAGCUCAUGGUAUUUUUUUCCCUUGGUUUGAUCAGGUGCUUCGGGAGAGGAACUGCGGAUACGGGAUACUGGUCUCGCAGGCGCCCAAGGAAACCGAAGCCUUCUACUCGCUCAGGGACCCGUCUGAAGUAAAGAUCUUCGUGUAGUUCUUUUUCUCUGCUCCUGCUGGUUCUGUUCAACGAUAGAUUCCUAAUCGUUUGCUUCUCGUGCAGGUGAUGGAGUUCCUGAAUUCCUUAGUGAGGUGGAAGAAGCACUCGCUAUGAACAAACAGGAGAUGACAGUAGUUUCCGAGGCGACAGUUUUACAGCGCUGGAAACCGUAGCUAGGAUCGAGUGAUGUUGCUGUGUCCCCUGUUAAUUCG